rnacentral:lncRNA from 1 species
AUGAGCAACCCCGAAACAAUCGUUUCAAAUUAGAAGCCUAAAAGCUAAAUCAAAUCAGAGCUUUGGCAGCAUCAACAGUGAGGGAACUCAACGAUUUGAGUCGAAUUGGAUCGUCGGAUUUGGUGUUUAUGGGUGGAACGGGUAGCUUAAUGUAUGGAGUUAGGAAGAUAAGAGGCAGGGUUAUUCCGAUGGCAGCAACAUUUUUCGGUGAGAAUUUUCCGAAAAAAAGUGCUGCACAGUCUAUUUUACCUCUUUCUUUCACCUCUCUCCCUUGUUUCUUAAAUGUUUUAUCCCUCUCCCUCUCGCUGAUUUCUAGCUCGCCUCACUAUUUUCCAAGGGUGUGUGCGUAUAUCAGAAUAUAUGUCUGUGUUUUUCGAUGGAGAAAAUGAAUUUUUCUCUCUAUAUUGUUGCUCCGUUCAGCCUCUCUUUAUUCUCCUACUGUGUGUGGUAUCUCUGUGAAUAUUAUGUGUGAAUUAUUCUCCAGAUUAUGUGUGUAUAUGAGUAUUGUGAGUGUAUGUUGCCUUUUCUGUGUAUGAUGUGUGUAGAAGAGCAUAGAUAGGUGUGUAGUCGGUGUGGCUAUGUGUAUUAAAAAAUUAGGAAAAAUGUGAGUGAGGUAGGGGGUUGGGUAGGAUAGUGAGGUGGGUAGGAGUGUGAGUGAUUAGGAGAAGGUGAGGUGGUUAAAUUUGAUUGGGCGGGGUGUUAAUUUGUUGGGAAUUUUGUUUUGUCCUUUUGUGAAUGGAUCAUCACAUGGGAGUAGGGUACAUGAUAAGACGAGGGUAAAUGGGUAAAAGUUCACUCUUGGGAGGGACAAAAUUACGUAUAUACAACACCUUAAUGAAACAAAUAGACUUUAGUUAUCCUACAACACCAAAUUAUUGUGGUGCGUGCUAAAUUAAUAAGCACAAUUCCACAAGUCUAAUGGACUAACAAUCGGGAAUAAUUCUUGAACAACAUCCUUGUAAAUCUUAUUAACUAUCCUUUUAUCUAAUUUGUGUAUACAACUCUUCCCACCUUAGAGACUUGUACUCUAGGUUAUAAAUAAGGAAAUUGUUCAUGCAGAUCUUGCAAAUCCGUCCAAGUGUUUUCAGCAACAAAACAAUUGAACCACUUGAUGAGCACUCGGUCACUGGUCUAUGGUUGUUCUAAAUCACCCUUUUAACUACCAUAACCUUGGGUUCCAACAAAUUAUGUCCAUUAAAUAAGAGACACAAGCAAAUCAGGCACCACUGAUUGAGCUCCAGCUCUAGCCUUCAAUUAUGUCACAUAAAAGGUAUGGUGUAUUUUGACAUUAGCAGGUAGCUCCAGAUGAUAAGAAAUAUGUCCCACCCUUUGGAGAACUUUUAAUGGGCUAAAAAACAUAGGAUAUAGUAUGGAAUAAUCAUCAACCCUUAUAGACAAUUGCCUGUAGGGUGGAGCUUGACAUAAAAAAGAUCACCAAUACAAAAUUCUCUCUCAAACUUCUUUUUAUCAGCUUAUGUAUUCAUACGCUACUGAGCUAAUAGAAGAUGAUAUUAAAUGCCCUUAUAGUCGACUCCUUUCCUUGCAAACACCUGUACACAACUUCUAUCAUAAAGCCCUGGGAAAAAUAGUGGAUGUAAAAGGGUGGACUCUAAUCAUAGAUGAUCUCAUAGGUGGUGGUUCUGGUAGAACUGUGGAUGUUGGUGGUAUACCACCACUCUGCUAUUGGUAACCAAGUAGUCCAUGUAUUUGGAAUGUCACCACACAUGCAUUUUAAGUACUUCUCCAUAUACUUAUUCACAACUUCUGUCUAAUAACCACUUUAAGGCUGGUAGCAGUGGAAUGAUGCAAAACUACCUCUUGGAGACUGAGUAGCUCACAACAGAAUUUUCUAAGAAAAAUGGUAUCUCUAUUUGACACAAUGAUUUGUGAUAUUCUACACGACCUAGUAUUUUAGUGAAUUAUAUAUAAUUAUUCUCUUCAUAUGAAGCGGGUUUCCUAACAUGGUCCAAUCAAGUAAAUGCAGUAAAAUAAAUAACCCAAUAUUUUAGGUGGAAAACACCUGUCUCAGAAAAGUGUAAAAAAUCACGACCUAUACCUCUAUAAGAUUUAACCCAAACUCACUAAAUCAAUGAGUCGCUCCAACAACAUAUUACAAACUUUGUAACCUAAGAAUCUAUAAACUCUAAUUCCUAGCCACACACAAACCUAUCAAGACUUGUUUUUUCAAGUAUUCAAGUUAUCUCAACUUGAUAACGAAUUCCUAAUCUAGUUUCGAAUACACUUGAACUAUGAAAGCAUAACAAUUACAACUCUAAGAGAAUUACUAAUACAAUCAAGAUAAUCUAUAACUAGACUCUACUAUGUGGAACUGUUUCUUCUAGGAGUUCUUCGAGACAACACCUCAAGAAUCAAUCUCUGAAUUUCCCUUUGUUUUGUUAUGAGUGUGCAGAUGACCUUGUGGAAGCUAUUAGGUAUUUAUAGAUAUAGUUGCUUUCUUCCUUUGGGUCGACUUGCUUUUCCUUCUAAGGAAUUCCAUUCCUAUUUGGAGACUCUUUUCCACCUUGCUCUUAAUUACCUUCCUUAUACAAAUUCCUUUAUUUUUGUAUUCUUUUGUAAGAAGGAAAUUAUGUCUCUAGCCAGCAUCAUUACUUUCCUUGGCUUGUGUUACUUGAUUUCAAAGUCAACAAUCAUCACAAUCUUAAUUGUAGGUUGAACUUGUGCCAGAUGAACCACGUGAAUCUACCCGUUUCUUUUUUCUAUUCUACUGUUUUGUCAAUCUUCAAAAUAACUCAUAAUCCAACAAAUUACCCUAUUUUGAUGAUUAAAACAUUUGCCUUUUUCAUCCAAUUUCAUAAGCUUGAGACAAUACUUAAGCGAAGAAAGCAAGAAACACUUUGAUGAACCAAAUUAGUCAUGAGUUAUAAAUACUGUUCAACCUAUAUCUUUUCUCUUUUGGUUUUAUUGAAAAUCUACGCUUGUACAAUAUAAAAUCCAAGGCUAGAAUAUUCAUGGCCACUCGGGCUAUCACCAAGAUAAUCAGUUUUAAGACAAACAACUAAUUUAAAGCAUUAAAAAGAGCAAGAAUAGAAGGCAAGUAGACAAAAGAUAGACAUCUCAUUAAUAUGAACCAAAUAUGCCCUACAAAAUACUACUAACUACUGAAAAUACAAAAUAAUACUACUUCUCUGAUAAUGGCUACAAAGGAAAAAUUAGUGACGUUGGUGGGAGAGAUAUAACGGCGUCAUUCUAAGCUCACUUUUGGGAGCUUCCUCCCUCAUUCUUUUCAGUUAAUCCCUGAGGAAAAUGAAAGUUAGAAAUAUGUCUUAUAUUCAUCAAGGUCAGUGCACCUCCUAGACUAUGGUAUAUCCUCUGAAGCACCGACGAUUAAAAGGCUCCAUUUCUCGAAUGCUGAGACAUCAUCUCAUCCUUUCCCGGUAGAGCCGAAGGAGCAUAAGUCAAAUUAUCAUGCUCAGAAGGGUGAAACCUUAUCCUACAUCCCACCUAAUUCCAAGAAAGGUAAAUUUAUGGUGAAUAUAGUUGAAGAGGAUGUAAAAUACCAGGAGGAAUAUUGGAAAAAUGCUUUGAUUAGAUACAUCAUCGGUGAUACAUCAUACAUGAAAUUGAUGAAGCUCUAUGCUGGCUAGGCAUGGAACCUUAAUAAGAAGACCCAAAUAUUGCCUCAUGACACUGGGUAUUUCAUCUUUAGAUUUGAGUGUGCAAAGGACUACAAUAAGGUAUUGAUGGAAGGUCCUUACACCUACCACAAUAAGCCUUUCAUCCUUCGAAAAUGGGAAAUUAAUUUCCAGUUGGACCUAGAUUGCCUCACCAUUAUUCCUAUAUGGGUGGUUUUUCUUAGGCUUCCCAUAGGUUAUUAGUCGCUGGAGACAUUGAGUAAAGUCGCAAGCACAGUUGGGCGGCCUAUCUACACUAAUAAUUUCAAUGCGACUAUGGAGAGGAUAUCAUGGUUCUAGGGUCUUAAUCAAAGUGGAUGUAUCCCAACCAAUUUUAGAGGAGUUUGAAAUGGUAAACCCCAUGGGUACACUAGUUUAACUAAUAUACUAUGAUUGGCGACCCAACUACUGCUCCUUAUGCUUGAAAUUUGGGCAUUAAAAGGAGGGCUGCUUGAAUGAGACUUAAACAAAGGUGAGGGAAGGAAGAUUCCAAGAUGUGCCUAGGUGGAGAAAAAUGAAUAGACAAUAGAAGAGAGUAAUUCGUUAGGAUGAGGUGCAACAACUAGCUAAACUAGAAAUUCCAAAUAUUCCUUAUGUAAGAAGGACUAUGAGUUCCCGACUCUGAACAAAUUUACAGGUCUCCAGACUAUGGUUGAUACGGGACAAACUAUGGACCCAUCAAUUCAUACAAAUAAUAAUAUCUACAUGUAAUAUUGGAGGGUUCUGUCAACCCCUGCAGUAACUGGAGUUGAAUCUCUUUCUGAAGAAGUAUCGUCUUGAUUCUUUUGGUUGUUUAGAAACAAGAGUGAAGGAACACAAAUCUUUAGGCUUUCUGCGUUAGAUAGCAUAGGGGUGCAAUACAUGGUGCAACUAUCCCAUGGCACCUAAUGGACAAAUAUGGAUUAUGUGGAGGCCUAUCAUCUUGGUGCUAAUCAUUAAGACCAAGGAAUAAUUUGUAAACUGUAAGGUAACCAACUCCUCUACUUUUUUUGUACCUACAACACUGUGAUCUAUGCCAAAAAUGAGGAUGUGAAUUGGCAGAGCUUAUGGGAUAAUUUGAAAUGUAUUGGAAAUUCCUUAACUAAUGAAUGACUGAUUUAUGGUUAUUCUAAAGCUGUUUUAUCAUCUGAGGAUCACAUUGGCUCUCCUGUUGAUAUGGCUUAAGCACAAGCAUUUAGAGACAUUAAUACAUUGCAAUUUACUGCUCUGAAAGCAUACAGAUGGCACUAUACUUUCUAUAAUAAACAACAACAAGAUGCAAGAGUGUACUCCAAAAUUGAUUGGGCACUAGGAAAUUUCUCAUAGAUUCAAACUUAUGGACAUGUGGAAUAUGAGUUUAUAAACCCUAGUGUCUCUGAUCACGCUUUAAUCCUUAUUGAGUAUAGGCCACAUGCGACACUAAGGACAAAAUCUUUUAAGCUCUUCAAGACUAUUAUGGACCAUUCAGAUUUCAAGAUUGUAUUUGCUAAAGUUUGGGAUAUAAGAUGUAGGGGUUCCUAUAUGGUCCAGUUGUGGUUUAAGCUAAAAGAGCUAAAUUAUGCAUUAAAGGAUCUUAAUUCUUUCUUGGCCUCUUAUGAACAAUGACUUACAAACUUAAGAUAAUAACUGGAGGUGGUACAAAGCCAAAUUGUAUAUUCUCCCCUGCAACAAACACUAAUUGAGCAGGAAAAGGGAAUUUUAAUUUAUAUACAGAACUAGAGUAAGGUAAAGGAAGAUGCCUUAAGACAGAAGUCUAGAGCAAAUUGGAUCAAAAGUGGAAAUGCAAACAUUGGUUACUUUUAUGCACAGUGGAAGAUCAGAACCAGCAAAAACUAUAUUGGUUCAAUUUAAAGUUCUCAAGGAACAAAGCUUACCAAUCCUAUAUAGGUGGAAGAGGAAUUUAUCUCAUUCUUUACUAGCCUAAUGGGAACAACUGCUGAAGAAUUGCCAUGUCCUGAUAUAUAAGUUAUCUAAUAAGGUCCGUGUUUAUCCUAUUCCCAAAAACACUUGCUCAUUAGGCCAGUCACUGAUGCAGAGAUAUUAGAAGCAAUGAAGAGUAUGCCUCUAGACAAAUUGCCAAACAAUGGGACACUAUCAAGAAAGAUGUUGUAGAGGUUGUAUAGGUAUUUUUUAUGACUGGUAAAAUAUUAAAAUCUGCUAGUUGUAUUGCUGUUACCCUCAUAUCUAAAAUUUUUAGUCCUUCUACUCUGAAGGAAUACAAACCAACAACUUGUUGUACAACCCUCUAUAAAAUUAUUGCAAAAAUCCUCACUAAUAGAUCGAAACUGGUUAUUAAUGAUAUUAUUGGUCCAUCCUAGACUACUUUUAUAGAAGGUAGGAGUAUUAUGGACAAUAUAUUAUUUAGUCAUGAGUUAUUGAAGUGGUACACUAGGAAAGGCUUAUCACCCAGGUGUGUUAUGAAUGUGUACUUGAGAAAGGCUUAUGAAUCCAUUGUAUGGAGUUUUAUCAAGAUGAUGAUGUCUGCAUUUGGUCUCCCUCGCCUUUUUUAUCAGUUGGGUUAUGGAGUGCAUUUCUUGUGUUGCUUAUUCUCUUAUUAUUAAUGGCACCCUAUCAAAACCUUUCUAAGGUAAGAAAGGUAAUAGACUAGGGGACCUUAUGUCCCCUUAUCUAUUUGUUAUCUUGAUGGAAUAUUUGCAAAGGGAGCUUAGUGUCUUAGCCAGGAAUAAACACUUUCAUUUUCAUCCUAGAUGUAAAAAAUUGAGGGUGAUGUAUAUACGCUUUGCUAAUGACCUAUUGAUGUUUUGUAAAACUGAUCUUAAGUCCAUCACACUCCAGCAAGAAGAUUUCUAAAGAUUUUCAAAAGCAUUAGGUCUACAAGAUAAUAUAAAUAAGAGUAGCAUAUAUAUGUCAAGUGUUAAACCCCAGGUGAAAGCCUCAAUAUUUUCUCAACUGAAUUUUGCUGAAGGAGCUUUACCAUUUAACUACCUAGGUGUGCCCCUCUUCUCUAAGAAGCUAAUUGUUGCCCAAUGUAUGCCAUUAGUUGAAAAAAUUGCUGCAAGAGUAAGGUGUUAUUCAGCAACACUCCUCUCAAAUGCUGGUCGACUAUAAUUAAGUAAGGUAGUGGUGUUUGGGGUUCAAACUUAUUGGGCUCAAGUGUUUAUCCUUCCUAAGAAAAUAAUGAAGCCGAUUGAGGUGUGUGUAGAUCUUUUUAUGGAUAGGUGAGGCAACUAUUUCCAAACAAGCCAUUGUAGCAUGGGAUAAGGUCUGUCUUCCAAAAUCAGUUGGUGGAUUGAAUAUUUAGCAUUUAUCAUAUGGAAUAGGGAAACAAUACUUAAGCAUCUGUGGGCUGUUGCUGAGGACAAGAAUUGCUUAUGGAUUAAAUGAAUUCACUUUUAUUAUUCAAAGCUUGCUAGUCUUGAAACAUACCCCAUCCCUGGUUCCACCACCUGGAUGGUAAGGGAAAUACUAGGGGCUAGAAAAUUUAUUUUAUAUGUUUCAGGAUUAUAGGGGAAUAUUUUGAAAAAACUUAAGGUAUGGUUGUCAAUCACAAGUUCUCCAUCAUAACGAUGUACACAAGACUACUACCAGUUCCUCCCAAGGAUCCAUGAAAGAGUUUAGCAUUACCUCCAAACAUCCAUCCUAGGCACAACUUUAUUCUUUGGAUUUCUAUUUAUAGGAGGUUGCUGAUAAUGGAUCGAUUACUGAAAUUUGGUGUGAGAACUCCCCUAUCCUUUGUUUUCCAUAAUGGAUUUGAUCGAAUGCUGGAUCACCUAUAUUUUGAGUGUCAAGUUACUACUGUCUUAUGGACAAGACUCCCAUAUUCCCUAGGAAUACAAAGAUCCUUAGGGACCUAGCAGGAGGAAAUUUAGUGGAUGAGUAGCUGAGCAAAGAAGCAAACUGGCACUAGUGCAAUAUUGAUUUUCACCUACUAAAGUGUUGUGGAAACUAUAUGGAGAGAAAGAAAUCAACUGAGGUUUUAUGCUGGCUGUUAUCAUUAAGAUAAGAGUAUUCAAGGAAAUGGUGACUUUUUUCCACACGAGAGGGACACGGAUCAAAGCCUGGGACCCAACUUUGAGAUUGCUCAACUCCUUUCCUUGAUGAUGGGGUAGAUUGAUAUAGUGUUGACAUACCAAAUGAUAGUGAUUUGAGUGACUUGUAGUGAGGCCUAUUAUAGAGUGACACUAUGUUAUAUUUCUAUAUUAGCUAGUGGAACUCCAUCAUAGUUAGGCAUUAUUUUGUGUAGUUCUAUUACUUGAGGAAUAGGUGGUCAUCCCCUGUUCAGGUCUGUAAUGAUUUGCUUUUGUAUAAUAAAAUUUUUUAUUUAUCAAAAAAAAGAAAAAACAAUACAACUAGAUAGGGAUAAGGAACUGAGGAACUGGGCUGAGAAGGAGGUUAGAUCAGGUUGGAGGAUAUGUGCCAAUGUUAAUACAAUCUCAAUAUUUUCAAUCCUUUCCUUUUCUAAUUCUGCUUUCUACUUGGCAAUUCUUGCUUCAAAGGCUACAAAUUUAACCAUAUGAGUAUCCUGAGCAACCAUUAAUUCUUAAAAUUUAGCAUCUUAGGCCAUCUUCAUUAGAAACCAAAUUAUUUUUAGUAGAAAGGAGAAGUGAUAUAAAUUGAAAAAGAAUGGUUAAGGGCUUAGACCAAUAGACUUAGUGAGGUCAUGACUGAAGUGAUAGUUGUUAUAGCUCUUUGAAUAAGUAGAAUAAUUUGGGUAUUUGGUGUUUUGGUUGAGUUAUCACUUGGGAACAAGUGAUAAGGAACAUGUAAUCUCAAGUGUUUCACCUUAGGAAAUAAUUGCAGUAUAGUGUACACACAUACCCGAUAAACCAAUAUUUGGAGUUUCCAAUGCUAACUCACCCUACUUUUCUGAUGAAUCAAAGAAAAAAAUAGGUCAAAUGUAUCAAAAAACUGGACUUGGAACACACAACUAAAUGGGUAAGACUGGACAAACUAAGUAUAUAGCUUUUAUUCAUAUCAUAGUUAUACAUAGUCAGUUUGUAAUGCUCCAAAAUUAGGUCCCGAGACGUCACACAGUGCUUAGGGUCACAAGUGACCCCAAGCUAACCCUUCUUCUGGCAUAACUUAUAAGCAACUGAAUUAAAAGUAUAAAUCUAUACAAAUUUGCGGAAAAUAACUCUUUUCUGAAUAUGAUAGAUACAAAAUUGAAUUUAUAAGAUUACAACUCUGCUUUUACAACCAAAAUUGAAACGGAAUACAUCAACUUCUACUGACUGUCUUUGAAGCCUCUACUAGUACUGACUAUAGGUAGCUGGGUCAUGACUCCUGACUAUCCCAAUUUAAUACGGCUGGAUAAAGAAAAUACAACACUUCUUGAACUGUAUAACUAAUUCAAGCCCUUGAAUCAAAAAGACUUAUCACCUGCUGACUGGAUGUCGUAAACUAACUGGAUCUGAAGAUGUACACUAUACCUUGUACCUACAUUCCAAGAAACUAUAGCCCACAUACGAAUAUGUGGGUCAGUACCAUGGAAACGUACCGAACAUAUGGGGGUGCAAUGCAUAUAUAAAAUAAUAUCGUAAUAUCAUCACAGUUUAUAAAAUUAUGCAUGCUGAUAUAAAUGACUCACUUAGCUCGAAUUAAAAUCAUCAUAAUCAUAAGAGAGUAAAAUAUAUCGGGUGAAANNNNNNNNNNNNNNNNNNNNNNNNNNNNNNNNNNNNNNNNNNNNNNNNNNNNNNNNNNNNNNNNNNNNNNNNNNNNNNNNNNNNNNNNNNNNNNNNNNNNNNNNNNNNNNNNNNNNNNNNNNNNNNNNNNNNNNNNNNNNNNNNNNNNNNNNNNNNNNNNNNNNNNNNNNNNNNNNNNNNNNNNNNNNNNNNNNNNNNNNNNNNNNNNNNNNNNNNNNNNNNNNNNNNNNNNNNNNNCUUUCAAACAAAUAUGUUUUCAUCUCAGAUAGAAGAAUAAGACUUUUCAUAUUAGAUAGGAGAAUACACACACACAUAUUGGGAGUCUCUUACAACCGACAUAAACCAUGUGAGCUACAUGGAGUCCAACGUUUAACCCACGUUGGGGAGAACUGUCCUAUCCUUGCUAUCAGAUUAGGACCUUAAAUCAUUAAUCUAAACACUAGUGAUCACUAUAUAAAUUAGCCUCAGGCUCACAACCUAUGGGGGCACAUAGUUCUUUGGAAGUACCAAUCCUGCUAUACCUCCCGCUCGGUGCUAAAGACUACUCCCGGACGUAGCUCAGAUCUUUUCAAAAGAAAAUCCACAAAUAAACAAUUCAACAAUUCACAACGNNNNNNNNNNNNNNNNNNNNNNNNNNNNNNNNNNNNNNNNNNNNNNNNNNNNNNNNNNNNNNNNNNNNNNNNNNNNNNNNNNNNNNNNNNNNNNNNNNNNNNNNNNNNNNNNNNNNNNNNNNNNNNNNNNNNNNNNNNNNNNNNNNNNNNNNNNNNNNNNNNNNNNNNNNNNNNNNNNNNNNNNNNNNNNNNNNNNNNNNNNNNNNNNNNNNNNNNNNNNNNNNNNNNNNNNNNNNNNNNNNNNNNNNNNNNNNNNNNNNNNNNNNNNNNNNNNNNNNNNNNNNNNNNNNNNNNNNNNNNNNNNNNNNNNNNNNNNNNNNNNNNNNNNNNNNNNNNNNNNNNNNNNNNNNNNNNNNNNNNNNNNNNNNNNNNNNNNNNNNNNNNNNNNNNNNNNNNNNNNNNNNNNNNNNNNNNNNNNNNNNNNNNNNNNNNNNNNNNNNNNNNNNNNNNNNNNNNNNNNNNNNNNNNNNNNNNNNNNNNNNNNNNNNNNNNNNNNNNNNNNNNNNNGAAAACUCAUGGUUGAAUCUUGAGAUAUUUGAAUUUUUAGGUUGAAACCCUAAUGAAUGUUCUUGGUGAUUUUGAGAGAAAGUAAACUUAUUUUGGUGUUAUGGGAGUUUAAUCCCGUGUUAUAGACAUAUAUAAGGCUGUUUUUGGCACUUGGAAGUGAGGUAUGCGGGGCACAACCCAUGACAGACCUUAAGGUGUGCGUCGCACACCUUAUGGCAGAUAUUUAAGUAUGCUUCGCACUCCCAAUCGCACACAUUUGAUUGGGCGGCGCAUUUCCCAUCGCACACCCUUACUGCCUCUCACGAAAAUGGGCAUAACUCUUCGCUCGGGUAUCAGAUUUUUUGCGAAAUUGGUAUCGUUGGAAAUCUAAUUCAAUUAUCUACAAUUUGAUAGGUCUUGGGAUGAAAAAUUCCAUUUAUAUUAAGAGAUAUACACGUUUGAAGUUGACCCUUGUAGAAUCGAAUGUCAAACUUUGGAUGAAUCAAUUGGUCUUAGCUCAACUUUGUUCUAGGUCAUUGCUACGAACAUUUUUUUACCUCUAAACUACUCUGUAGACUAGGAUAAUGGUCAUGCAACUUGUAUUCACGUGAGAAUCACUUGGAUUAGAGCUUAGACACGCAGGAACGACAGUUAGAAUUUUAGCACGAAAAUACGGGGUAUUACACAGUUCUAGCCAAUCAUGGAGGGUGGUUCAUGCAAUCUUAGUCAUCCCCAAAUCUACCCUAUUUUUUUCAAAUUAUUCCCUACUCAGUGCCUUAGUAAAGAUGUCUGUAAUUUGUUCUUAAGUGGAGAGAAACAUGAUUGGACCUUUUUCUAUAGUCUUUGAUAAAAUGGUGUCUUAUAUCAAUUUCUUUGGUACGCUUAUGCUAGAUGUUUGGCUAUAUUCAUGGACCUUGUGUUGUCGUAAAAGAUGGGAGCACAACCUACAUCCAUACCAAAAUCUAGAAAUUAUUUUUUGAUCCAUAGUAGUUGAGCACAACAAGAACCAACAAUAACAUAUUUAGCUUUUGUAGUAGACAAAUCACCAAAGUUAUGCUUUUUUGGUGGACUAGAAAAUUAGACACAAUCCAAGAAAAUGUGUCAUACCUGAGGUGAUUUUUUUAUUGAUUUGAUAGCCUACAUAAUUAACAUAUUAGUACCCCAUAAGAUUAAAAUUGCUUCCUUUAGAAUACCAUAAUCCCAAUUUCAAGAUCCUUUUACAGCCUGAAGAUGAGACUCUUUGGAAUUGGCUUGGAAUCUUACAUAAAGUCCAACACUAAAGAUGAUGUCAGGUCUAAUUACAGUAAGAUACAAGAGAUACAUAAUCUAAAGUCCAACACUAAAGAUGAUGUCAGGUCUAAUUACAGUAAGAUACAAGAGAUGCAUAAUCUACCUCUAUGUAUAUUCUCCACGAUCGAUGCAAUAGAUUUAUCAUGGUUUUGUUUUGUGGCAGUGGUAAUGUGAGUAUUGAUCACCUUGGAUUUCUCCAUCUUGAACUUCUCGAGCAACUCUUUCAUAUACGUUUGUUGGUAAUCAUGGAUCCUGUUGGAGUUUGCUUACUUUGAAGUCCUGUAAAGAAAUUGAGCUCUAUUAUCAUACUCAUCUCAUUUCUCCAUUCAUGAAUUGGGAAAGUUUUUGAGUUAUAGUAUUUUUAGUGGAUCCAAUAAUGAUAUCAUCAACAUAGACUAAGCAAUUGGAGUUUUUUUCAAACAUAAAAAGCAUGAUCUAGUUUGUAGACAUGAUUAGGGAGUUCAGUACUCUCAAAUAUAAGAGGUUGUUACACAUAAAAUUAUUCUUUUAGAUUUUCAUUUAGGAAUGUACUUUUCACAUCCAUUUAAUACAGGGUAAAUUCCAUGAAGGAGGUAAAUGCAACAAGUAGCCAGAUUUCCCCAAGCCUUGCCAUAGGUGCAAAUGUCUUAUCAUAGUCAAUUCCUUAUUUUUUAUUGUACCCUUGGACCACCAACCUUUUCUUAUUUCUUGUAAUAGUUUCAUAUUCAUCAUGCUUAUUUCUCAACACCCAUUUUAUUCCAAUUAUAGUACUAUCUGUAAGAGGAGGAACCAGGUGACACACUUUACUUAUCUCUAAUUGAUAAUGUUCUUCAUAUAUGCCAAUAUCUAGUCUUAAUCUAGGAGAUCAUCUUCACCUUAUGGGGAUCAAUCACUGACAAAAAAGCAUUAAAUGCACACAAUUUCCUAAGGCCUAAUCUAGUAGUGAUUCCUAAAGCAAGUUCAAUGUGAACAUUGUCAAUUGGAUGAAAUCCCUGAUACUUGUAGUUCGUUAACACUAGUCCUUGUAAAGUUACAACAUUAUCUUAAGUAGUUUAAGCUAAAUUUGUAGAUGAGUCAGCUUCUUGACUAGUUUUCCACCUAUCAAAUUGCCGUUGGUAUAUUCAUCGGUGGAACAGGUGACCCAACAUGUCCCAACAUAUGAUCCUCAACUUCACCUUUAUCAUGUAUGUUAAGAUCAGACACAGUAUUUGAUUCAUCAAAUGCCAGAUGUACACUUUAUUCAACAUAAUUUGUAUGUUUGUUCAAGACCUUAUAUGCUUUGCUAUAUUGAGAAUACCCCCUCCUCAAACCCCCUCAUCACUUCUAGAAUAAAAUUUGCCCAAAUUGUUUUUUCUUAUUUUUGAAAAUGUUGGAGAAAAUAUCAAAGGCAUAUUUCUUAGACGCUAAAAAUAAAUUCCAGAAAAACCUGGAAUAGUCAUAUAAAGGUACAUAGAUACAUCUCUUUCCUCCUUUACUCCUUACUUUCAUUGGUCCAUAAAGAUCCAUAUGAACUAGGUCGAAGUACUUGGUUGUACUUACUAGGUUCUUCAUUUUAAAUAAAUAUCUAGCUUGUUUCCCCCUUACACAAGUAUUGUAUGUAUUGUCAUCUUUGAUCGUAGUUUUAGGAAGCCCUAUGACCAAGUCUUUGGAGGCAAGUUUGUUCUACUGUCGUAUAAUUGCAUGACCAAGUCUCUAGUGCCAUAGUAAAGAAUCAUAAUUAAUUGCACUUAUACAUGUGAGAUAAGAGCUUGAAGCUCCAAAUAUGUCAGCUUUAUACAAAUUAUUGUGCCUUUUAAAAGUGGAAACAACUUCCUUUGUUUCCAUCUUCUUGACCUUGUAACCUGCUUAAGUAAAAACUACUUUGUUGCCUUUGUCACAUUAUUGAGAAAUCCACAGUAGAUUGAGUUUUAACCUAUCUACAUGAUACACUUCCUUCAAGGACUUGUCUUCAGUUUUUCCAAUAUAGCCAACUCUAGUAAUUGUCCUCUUUUUUAUACCCAAAAAGUACAUCCUCUCUGUCAAGUGAGGUGAGUAAAAAGACUUUUGUUUGUCUCCAUUCAGUUGUAUUUAGCAUGCACUAUCCAUGUACAAAUAACACUAUCACCUUUCACUCUUUAUUAUAAAACAAUUUAAGGAGUUUUAUGAACCCAAUAAGCUUGGGUCCUUUCUUAUGAUCAAAAGGGUGGAUUAAAUUUCUUCUAGGCUAUGCUAGCAACACGUUUAUUCAUCCAUUUCUUUUGAUAGAGCUGAUCUUGUUAUUGUCAGUAGAUAUGGACUAGGGUUUUUUCACAUUUUAAACCCACUCCUCUCAAGGGGAGAAAACCCAUUUUUUUGAUAAUUUUGAGAUGUUUUUUUAAUGAACUCUACAUUACUUUUCAUCAAUUCAUUUCCUUUUGGACACUCGGUGGCGAGAUGAUCCGACCUUCCAUAAAUAUAGUAUAGGUCCUCUAUUGGAGAUGUUUCUUUGUGAAAUCUUAGUCCAACCUUUUCACUAUGAGUUCUACUAUUUAGAUGAUUUACAGUUCUAGUGGAUUGAGCCUAAUAGUUAGCUCUUUCUAGGUCUAGUUUUAUCCUACAGUUCUCCUAUUUAGCUUUCUAACCUUUUCCUUUUUGUUAAACUGUUUGUCAUUUCUUAGUUUAUGAUCAAAUCUAACUCUUUAAUGAUCAUCACUCAUAGUUUUUCUCUUUAUCUAAGAUAGAGAGUUUGAGGACUUCAUACAUAAGAGCUAGGAUGGUAGAACAAUAUUGAUUAACCUAUUUCUUUAGAUUACAAUUUUCUUUCUAAAGAAUACUCUAGUUUGUUUCAACAUCAAUGAAUUCCUAUUUGAGACUUUCAAGGGCACUGAGUAACUGAUCUUUGUUAGUUUUUAAGUCAUGAAUAUCAUCAGUUAGAUAGUUCGUUAAGGAGAUUAGUAUCUUCUUAGAGAAAAAAUAAAGUUUAUCUUUAAGAUCAAGUAAACUUACUUUAUAUUUGCUUCCUUCUUCUUGUUCUUCCUCUAGAUCUUGAUCUUCUAAAGGCAUAUAUGUAGUUUCAUCAAUUUUACCAUCAGAUUCUUUAGAUCUUGAUCCCCAAGCAACUACCAUAGCAUAAGAUUCUUUUUUCUUGGAGUUAGCUUUGUCUUUUUCUUUUUGUUCCUUCACACUUCUUUUUCUUACUUCACACUCAUUUCUCUUCUCAACUCAAUGUACCACAAUGGAAAGUCCUUAAUCAUGUGACCAGUUUUCUCAUAUUUAAAACAACUACCUUGGAAUCAUUCAUUGGACCAUCACCUACUACCUAUUCCUUUCAUGUCAUUCCUAUCAUUUCUCUUGAAAAACUUUAUAAAGGUCCUGGUAAUGAAUGCUACAUAUUCUUCAUCUAAAUCUAAAUCAUCACCGUCAAAUAUUUUCAGAGCUAGUGAUUUGUCUUUUGUUUCAACCUUUUUAAAGUAGUUCAUGUUCAUCUCAUAGGUUUUUAAGUUUCCCACUAACUCAUCAAUCAAGAGUCAUAUGGGUAAGAUCCUUUACUUCUCUUACUAUAAUCACCUUAAAAUCCUAGUUGGCCAAUGGAAGAAUUCUUAAUACCUUGUCAACAUGUUCUUUGGUGGUCAAGGUUGUUGCAUCCAACUGCAUACACAAGUUUACAUGGUCGUGUAAGUAAUAAAGUCGCUCAUGUGAGCUGAAUAUCAAUCCAACAGGGAUUUGGCAUUUAGCAGGCAAUCCAAUUAUAAUUAAGAUUAAAUGAGUGUGAUUCGUAACAAAAGAGAGUUUAAGUUUUAUUAUACUAAAAGUAAAAAUGAACAAUAGGGGAGAUUAAAAGGCAUCAUGAACAUACGUGCGAAGCUAUACAAUCUUAUUGGUUAAAUUAUCUAUCUUGAUUGUUGAAUCACAAUUGUUGAAUGCUACUUCAAGACUUUCUACCCUCAAGGAUUGACUCUGCCAAGUUAGCAAACUCAUGUAUAUUUGUCAACAAAGAGAUCAUGUAAGUUACCUAUCCAUUAUUACACAUAUACCCCUCACCACAAAAGAGUCACCUAUAUUCAUUUACAAAUAUGCAAUUUAUCAUAAGAAUGGGUGUAAGAAUCAAAUUCCACUCACUCUCACAAAGAAUUCACAAAUUACAUAAGAUGAACCCUAAUCUUUUCCUCAGCGUAGUACUCCACUAGUUUAAAAUAUCAAAGUUCAAGGUCAAGUAGGAAUUUAUGGAUAGGCUAAGGGAUGAAUAGGAACUCUUUUGGCAGUAAUAGUUAUUAUCUCCCCCAGCACUUUAAUACACUAUACAUUGAAAUCAUGUUCAGCCAACCUAUGGUUUACCACUUUUAUCUUCACAUCUCUCUUUUAUUUUGCCCUAUCUCCUUAAGCUAGCUUACACAUCUUUAGAAGGUAGUAUUUGCCAUCAACACAUAAUUCACUUCUUUUUAUCAAGUUUUUUACUACAGUACUCCCUACCAACAACACACCAAUAUCCAUUAUUUGGGGCUUCACUUUCACAUUUUCCUUCUUCUUCACUUCUCACUUCUCACUUCUUACCAGCUUUAAUUCUUCAGCUAAAGAACUUAGGGGUUUGAAUCAAAUUAUGGUCAAUUAAAAGAAAAGAAAUAAGAUACAUAAAACAUGUAUAAAACCUGGCUAUCAAAGAAAUGCAUAUAUCAUCUCCUAAACUCAAAUUCUUUAUUUUGCUUUGCAAACACACCAAAAAGGUUCUAGAUAUUAAUAUGCAAUCAUGGGAUAUAACAAAAACCUCAACACACAUGGCACAUAUUUGAUUCAAGAAGGAUCUCGAUAGAAUUUCAACCAAGCAAUCGCAAAAAUUUAAAUUUAAGCCAAAAUCACACAAGAAUUAGAUAAAAAAGCCUAGGUGUCACACAUAAGUCAUUCAAUUUUCACAUCAUGCCUUAGAAUUCAACACCACUUAAACAAGUAUCAUGUGUAGCACCUAACUAGAGCAGCUCAAUUUACUUAAAAUAAUACAAAAAUACACCUAAAAAUUAAAAAGGACACUAAUGAGGAGUGGCUGAAGUGUGCCUCUACUAAACGAACCAAACAACACAAACUGAAAAUAAAUAAAGAUAAAAUCUUUUUAUAUUAUUUUUUCAAGAUUUAAUCAAAAACUUACAAAAAAAUCAAAAUAGAAAUCCUAUAGCGUAUUUCACCCUAAGAAAAUAUGAAGAUUCUCCACCGCACACUUAAAAUCAUACUUUGUCCCCAAAGUAUAAAUCAAAUUAAGAACAUGGAUUAGUAAUACUUUCUGAGGCUUCUAGGCCUAGCUAGUAGAAUGUCGCUAGUAGAAUAUCACUUUCUAGAUUUUCAUCAUAAGGGCAGGGGAAUCCCAAACUUAUGCUUUAAUCAUGCUCCUUAUCUUAGAUUUUGGAUACUUAGAGUUCCCCUAGUCUGCAAAACAAACAAACAAAAAUAAAAUUAAAGGGACACUUUAUAAUAAUUACUAACAUUAUUACAACAUGGGUUGCCUCCCAAGCAAUGUCUGAUUCAAUGUCGCGACGUGACUCACUUCAUAACUAUCAUCUACAGUCUCUUAAUCACUUUCCUGCCAACCAUUAUUUUCUUCUCUUCUUUACUCUACCAAUAAUACCAUCAAAAUUUGUCUAUUUACUCCUCUUUUCACCCCAUGUAAGAUCACAGGGAAGUUUUUUAAGAUCAGACUUAGUCAUUAAUUUGGCAACUCCAUGAGAGAGUUCAAAAAGGUAAUGGAAAUUUUGCACUCCUCCACCCCACACUUAUCCACCCCUAUAUCUGUGAUCAUGCAUAGAACUCUGUAGUGUAAGGGUGUGUUAAAUUCUUUGAUAGCUAUCACUUUAUAGCUAUCAUCUACUGGUCUAUUUUAAGACUGCUCAACUGGUUUUUCAUUCGAGUUUCUUAUUUUGUCAGCUUUUUUGGAUUCAACUUGCUUUUCCGUAUGCUGAGGUGUGAUUAACUCUGGUUACACCUUAUGGUUUUUAUUUGGAUAUAUGUCAAUUAAAUAUCUACCACUUUUGAAGGUGAUUUCCAUAAUUUUCUUUGGAUUUUGCUCUAGAUCAUGAGGCAAACCCUCUUGAGGUCUUGUGUUUUGUGCUUGAGCUAACUUACCCAUCCUGGUCUCUAAAUUCUGUUGAGCUAAUUUCUGAAUUUUGAUCUCGAUAACCAUUUGUUCUUGGUUGGUAAGAAUUUUUUUCAAAGUCUCUUCUAUAUUAUUGGCUUGAGUGUUGUUCUAAAUACCUUGCCACUGCUGAAACUGCUGACGUUAGACCUAAUCAUUACCCAUGAGUAGUUGGGCUAACUCUGCCAGUUAUGGUUAUAAGAAUUACCAUAGUUUUGAUUCUCUUUUAGUGCAUUACCUACAAAAUUCUCUUAACUCCAGUUUUGCUCUAAAUAAAUCUACAAAGUGACCACUACUACGAUAAAUUUCACACCAAGUCUAUAUUUGUUAAACUGCAUUAAUCUGUGCCUAAGGUUAGGCCACACUCAACUUGUUGAACUAACUCAUCAUCUGGUUCUUAAAAGAGGUCAACUGUACAACCAAUGUUGUUAUGCUAUCUACCUUGAUUAUUUCUGCGUGCUUCUUCACCAUAAUUAUAGAUGUAUCACCCUGCAAUUCUAGAUUAUCUUAUGCAAUAUGUUUGAGGAGAGUUUACAACUCAUCAUUGGUUUUCCAUGAAGACAGGCCACUUGCUACUAAAUCUAGCAAAAUCUUUGUAUUAUAAUCAAUACUUUCAACAAAAGUAUGAGCUAAUACCUUAUUGGUCUGUUGGUAAUGCGAGCAAUCUCUUAGAAGAGACUUGAAUCUCUUGCAUGGACGAUAGAGAUUUUUGUCUGGCUUCUGUUUGAAACUAAAGAUCUCACUCCUGAACCUUGCACUUUCCCAGAUAGAAAUAAUCAAAUGAGGAACUUCUUUUUCAGGUCAUCUCAAGUUGUGGUUGAAUUUGAAGGUUCUUCCUUCAACUAUUUCUUUACUUCUCCCUAGAGUGAGAAUGGGAAAAUAGUGAACCUCACAUAAUUUGUGGAGUUUCGCAUAAAAAUAAAUGUGUCACUGAUCUCUAAAACAUUCUAAAAAUGAACUUGUGGAUCCUCAUAAGUCAGGCCUAUGAACUUCCCACUUAUGUGUAACAAUUUCACCAUGUUCUAUUUAAGCUCAAAUCCUCAUCCUCCAUUCAGUCUGUAAAUAUUGAAGGUUAUAUUAGUGCGAGCUGGUUGUUCAUCACCCAUUAUUGUAAGAAUGGUCUCGCCUUGUGUAACUUGUAGGAUUAGGUAGAGAAGUGCUACUUCUCUCCACAAUUGGUGCAAGCAUCUCUCAGGUUUGGGAUUUGGUUUAACCAAUUCUCUCUCCCUUGCCAACUUGCUUAAAAUUCAAACUUGUACCUUCAAGUUCAGUAGCUAAUAUCAAUUUUUUGCACUUAUCAAAUAGUAUAGUAAAACUAAAUAUUGAAAUCUUACUAAAUCAAGUACCCAGCAACGGAGACAAAAACAUGUUGCGUCCAACCACACACACAAGUGUACAUUGUCAUGCAAAUAAUUCAGUGGAUCUUGUGAGUUGAAUAUCGAUCCAAUAAAGACUUGGCAUUUAGUAUACAAUCCAAUUACAAUAUUAUUAUUAAGGUUAAAUGAGUGUAAUUUUUGGCCAGAUAGGUUUAAUUUUUAUUAUAAUAAAAUUAAAAAUAACAAUAUUGAAGAUAAAAGUGUUGUAAACAAUACUUAGGAGGCUUCCAGGGUCAAGGCAUCUUGAACAUUCAUGUGAAGCUAUAUAUUCUCAUUGGUUAAGUUAUCUAUCUUGGUUGUUGAUUCACGAGGUUAAUGUCAUGAUUAUGGUCUUUUGAGCUUCUAAUUGUCUAUUUAAAUUAGCCUCACAACUACAUCAUUGAGUAGGUAUGUGGGAAGUAAUUUAAAUGCACUUGUAUUUCGUCUCGUAUUUGAGACAAAUAAGGAAGAUUAGGUAUUUUACCAUCCUAAUCAUGAAUGUUAUCUUUAAUUCAUCUAAAAGACAAGAACCUAUUCCUUAUGUUCCAUGUUCUAAUAUAAUGUUACUAUCUUAUUUUAACUGAUCUAAAUGACAAGAACUCAUUCUUUAUGUUCCAUGUUUUAAUAUAAUUUUACUCCUUUCGAUAUUAUAUAAGAAAUAUAGAUGUAUUCUAAAGAUCGUGAAUCAGUAGAAGAGUAAGUACAGGUACAUAAGAAUAACCAAAUAUGAUAUUUAACACUAAUUAACUUGAAUAUACUCUAAACAAUCAUGUUCAUAGCCUCAACCCUAGAAAGAGGAUGUUUAGCUACUCAUAGUCAUACAAAGAAUCACCAUUAAUGAAUCCAUAAGUACAACUAGAAGAAAGUAAGAAGUUAAAGCUUAAUGCCUUCUCUUCUCUCCAAUCAUGUAUUUUCCCAAAGUUUUUUUUUAUAUAUAUGGUUAAGUACUCUUUAUAUAACCCUUUAGGUCUUCCAUUAGAUUUCACACACGACAUAUAUACAUUGACCACUUUUCCUCAAAUUAAACCAAGUGAAAAAUCAAGUUUUAGAUGUUUUUUGGGGGGAAGGGAGUUGCACCGUAUGGCCAAUUGUAUGGCCUCUUGAUGUGCUAUGAAUGGCCUAUAUCAUGCAUCCUUGGUGUGAUAUGCAUGUUCAUAGCAUGUUCCAACUAAUAUCUCAACACAGUGAGGGAUGCGCUGCAUGGCCUAGCCCCUUAACUUGGGAUUUCAUCCAAUCUUUGUUCUAUGCUCUUUGUCUACUCAUUCCUUGUUUCCCCAAUCUUUUUGGCUUGUUUUUAGGCUUAAUUUAGGUUCCAUAGUUGCUCCAAUGGUCUCCUACAAUAUCUCAUAACAAACAUUAGUCCACACAACACAAUAAAGCUCAUCAAAGUACACUAGAACAAGCAUAACUUAAGCUAACCUAAUUAAUUUUUUUUGUCUAAAUUCUAUUUGAUCAUUUUGACUCUUGAAAUGUUUUAAAUGCACCUAAAAUACUCUAAACAUGCAACUUAUCAAACAAAUACACAAACAAACACUUCAUACUUUAUUAAGCACACCAAGUUAUUCUCAAAACUAAGCUAAAAAGACGUAGAUAAUGAGACUUAGGUGUAAAAAUAUGCCUAAGAUCACCUUUUCCCACAAAUGAAAGUUCAUUCACCAAGGUGGUUAGUCAAGUGAUCGUCUCUUGUACAGUCUCACCAUCCUUCAUCUUGAGUGUCUCGUAUUCAAUGAAUGUCAUAGCUACUCUGAACUUUCUUACCUGACUGGUGCCUCCAUAGGCAUUCACUAGUGCAUACCAGAUUUGGUUGGUAGUAGUACAACCUAAAACUUUGUUGUAUUCCUCAAUACCUAGACCACAAACAAGAAUAUUUUUGGCCUUCUCAUUCUUUUUUAGAGAGCUGAGAUCAACCAAAGUGAACUCAAUUUUUGUCUUUUCACCUGCUUUUCUUUCACUUCUUUCACUUUUUUCAUAGGAAUUUUGGGACCUUUAGUUAAAUAUCACAUAGUUCAUAAUCUUCAAGCUAAAUAAAGUCUUCCAUGUGAGCUUUCCACUAUAUGAAGUGAGACCAAUUAAAUAGAGGAGGUCAUGUGGUGGAUUGUUCUUCACAAUAUCUAGCAGGAGGUGCAGAAUUCAUCUUUGAUUUUAACUUAAGGUGCUAACCUCUUGACAAGAUAAAUUGGCUCUGAUACCAAUUAAUAUUAUACAUAACCUAGUAUUUUAGUGAAUUAUAGAUGAUUAUUCCCUUCGAUGAAAAAAUAACUUGACCUAGGGUUGCCUAACGUGGUCCAACAAAGUAUUGAAUGCAGUAAAAUAAUAACAUAAUAUUUUACAUCGAAAACACCCGACUUAGAAUAGGUCUAAAAAACCACGACAUGUACCUCUACAGGAUUUAACACAAAUUCACUAAACCAAUGAUCCACUCUAACAAAUAAUUACUAACUCUGUAGCAUGAGAAAUUAUAAACUCUAAUUCCUAAGAACACACAAACCUCACAAGGCUUGUGUUCCCAAGUCUUGAAGAUAUCCCAACUUGAUGGCUGACUCCUAAUCUAGUUUAUAACAUACCGGAACUUUGAAAGCAUAAAUGAUUACAACUCGAAAAACACUCCUAAUACAAUCACUCUAAACCUAUAUCUAGACUCUACUAUGUGGACCUAUUCCUACUAGGAGUUCUUCACGAUAGCACCUCAACAAUAAAUCUUUGAAUUUGCCUUUGUUUUAUUAUGAGUAUGCAAUUGACCUUGUGAAAGCUCUUGGGUAUGUAUAGAUGAAGAUACUCCCCUCCUUUGAAUUGACUUGCUUAUUCUUCUAAGGAAUCCCAUUCUUUAUUGGAGUCCUUCCUUUGAGGGAUCUCAUUUCAAUUUAGAGACUCAGUGUCACCUUCCUUUUACUCUUUGCGACCUUCCUCUUAAUUUACUUCCUUACAUGGAUUCAUUUAUUUUAUUAUCCUUUUAUAAGAAGUAAAUAAUGCCUCGAUUCAACAUCAUUACUUUCUUUAGCUUGUUUUUCUUGAGUUCAAAGUUGACGAUCAUUAGUAUCUCAACUAUAGUAUCUCUACCUAUUUCAUGCUUAUGUUCCAAUUCUUUGUCAAUCUUCAAAAUAACUCACAUUCCAAUAGUUUGAGGUAACCUAAAAAAUGAACCGCUGUUUGAGUAUGGCAUUAAUGUCAGAAGAAAAUCAUGUGUGUGAGUUAUAUGUUUCAUUUGAAAAAUCUCAAAAUAAGUUGGCCGAUUUGAAAUUUUAGCUCUAAAUUACCCAUAGAUUUAGAAAUUCCUUCAACAAAUUUCAUAAUAUAUUUUUACCUACUAGCACUAUAUUUACCCAUAGAUUUAGAAAUUCCUUCAACAAAUUUCAUAAUAAUGUCUUGCCUACUAGCACUAUAUUUACCCAUAGAUUUAGAAAUUCCUUCAACAAAUUUCAUAAUAAUGUCUUGCCACACUAAAGCUCACUCUCUUACAUAUGCUAGUUGACAUUAUUGAAUUAGCUGAGAGAGUUUCAUAUAAUAUGGCAUAAGAAUCCUAAAUCUUUUGAAGGAGUUGACCAGUCAUAGGUAUGGCAUACAAAUUAGUCACUCUAGAUAAUGCAUCUGCUGUAAUACUCUACUUCACUUUCUUGUACAAAAUUGGAAAGUCAUAACCCAAUAAGUUAGCUAUCCACUUUUUCUUACUAGGAGAGGUUAUCUUCUAUUCUAACAAAUGUUCAAGAAUCUGAUGAUCUGUUCUGAUAGUAAAGUCUUGACCAGUGAGAUAGUGCUUCUAUUUCUAAACAACAAUUAUUAUAUUCAACAUCUCCUUCUCUUGCAUUGAUAAUCUAGCUUGUUGUGAUCCUAAAGCCUUUCCAUAAAAUGCAAAUGGAUAGCUUUUUUGCAUCAAAGCAUCACCUAUACCUUCAUUAAAAACAUAUAUCCUUAUGACAAACUCCUCAGCAAAAUUUGGUAGGUCCAGUACUGUUGGCAUAUUCAUGACAUUCUUGAGAGCAUAUAAAGCUUUCUCAACUGCCUUAGUACAUUGGCAUGUACCACUCUUUAACAGUUCAUACAAAGGCCUAGCUAUAACUGAAUAACCUCCAAUUAAUCUCCUAUAGUACCAUGUUAACCCCAAGAACCCCCUUGGCUCCUUCACAGUCUUAGGCCAAGGCCAUAGGAUCAUGGAUUCCAACUUUUUAGUAUCAACAAAGACACUAACCUUACCAAAAAUGUGACCCAAGUAAGUUUAUCCAAAGGAACACUUAUUCAUUUAUGCAAACAAACUAUGUAUUUGUAGUGUUUAAAAAAUAGUCUGUAAAUGGGAAAAGUUGUUGGACUAGGAAGGGCUAUAGAUGAGAGUAUCAUCAAAGAAUACUAAGAUGAAUUUUCUCAAACAAAAAUGGAAAAUAUGGUUUAUAAGGCUUUGAAAAGUUGAAAGAGCAUUUGUAAGGCCAAAUGUCAUCACUACAAACUCAUAGUGGCCAUGACAAGACGUAAAGGAAGUUUUCUCAAUAAAUGAAGGGCACAUUCUGAUCUGGUGGUAACCAAAUCUUAAUUUCAACUUAGAGAAAAAUUUAGCAUCUCCCAACUUAUAUUACAGUACUUCUGAGAUGAAUACAUGGAAAUCAUUGUCAGUAGUUUCCUUAUUUAGUUCCUUAUAGCUAAUACACAUUUUCCAAAAGCCAUCCUUCUUCUUAACCAUAACAAUGGGUGAAAAAUAAGGGAUUAAGAUAUAGGUCUAAUCACCCCAGUAUGCAGCAACUCUUAGACUAUCUUUUCAGUCACAUCUUUUUAAGAAGAUGGACACAUAUAAGGUCUCAUAUUAACAGGUGAGGUAGCUUCCUUGAGGACUAUUCUAUGGUCGUGAUCUCUGUGUAGGGAUAAGAUACUUGGUAUAGUAAAUAUAGAGUUAUAGGUGUCAAGUAACUAUUAUUUUCAAUGUUUUCGGGUACACAAAUCUGUAUUUAGGCACACAACAACUUCAACAUAAGUUCAAGUUUAAAACAAGAACACUAUGAAGUUAUACAUCUUCAACACAAUAUUAAAAAUAAUCUAUCCAAGAAGUGUGUUAUAAUUUCAGAAAUAAGAUGAAACAAAAAUUUAAAGCCAAGUCCCCCAACUUCACAGAGUGUCCUUAAGGAAUAAUUAUUUUCCUCAUUGUACUCGAGUUUAUGGAAUUUUCCUCUCAGGAUAAGAUGACUUUCAAUUUAACAAUAGCGAUACCUCAAAUUAUUGGAUUCGUCGAGCUCACUCAACGGCUAAUGAUCACACUGAGUUUUUGUAGAGAAGAAGAGUGUUUUUGUUGCCAAAAAUUAUAUGUGUGCCUGAGGAAUAUGUCAGGUAUUUGUAGCCUUAAUAUGCUCUUUCGAAAAGAAUGCAUUGGUUCAGCAAAAAGGCACUUAUUCAGUAUAGUCACGUCACCUGCGCCCAGUCUGUGCUGAAAUUGCACCCGAUCUGCUGCCGCAGGUGACACUGUCUAAUUCCAGUGGCUACCUACACUGCAUCUGCACCCGCAGGUCACCUAGGUGCGUGCACAAGUCACGCUAUUGCGCGAACUAGUGUGCCUUUUACCUCAAAGGGUUGCAACCCUUUGAGGUGCGUUGUGCAUGUGUUUGUAUGGCGUUCAAAAUGCGCCCGCACAUGGGGAAAAUAUUUUUAUCAGAUUCUUUGGAUUAAAAUUUCACUUGUUCAUCAAGUUUCAAAUAAAUUUUAUCUAAAAAAUAGAUCUCAUCGAUCGAUCAUUUGCCAAAUCUAAAUCCAAAUCCAAAUCCGAAGUCGAGCAAGCAACGACGACACGUGAGGCACCACUUUGUUCUUUCCUCACUUUAUAUGUGGAGAUGUGUUUCUCAAUAUGAACACAUGAAAGCUUCUUUCUCCCACCAAUGUGGGAGAAUUUAGUAGACUUUCCAUAAAAGAGUACACUUUCCAUUUUAGUGUCUUUCUUUCCCUCCACUAUUUUUCCCUCUAUUUUUUCAUUCAUACAUACACCUUGAACCCAACAACCCCCCACAUGAAUGGGGAAUGACUAUCUUUUGAAGAAUUUAUGGACAAGCAUGUGAUCAUUGAUCAAAGACUGAUAGCAUCUGGAUAAGUGAAUUUUUCUUUGAACUUUCCGUAGUGAACAUGCAGUGGAUGCACUCGAUUAAUCGAUAGAUUUUAUAUCUUUGAAACUUCAAGAUUUAAUGUACACCUAGACAACACAUGUCAUACAACCAACCUUUUACCAUUUAUGGUUCUCACGGUUUUGUUCUUUUCAUCCAUGAACAUGUCCUGGUUUCAUGAGAGCUUAGAUAACUAACAUUCUUCUUGAAGAGACUUCCACUUCGCCCUUACAUAUGUAAUUUCUAAAUGUUCAAUCCUGUAGAUUAAACCAUUUGGUCAAAUCUGCCAAAUUUAGAUAAUCAUUAAAAGACUUCACACCAUAAGUCUUAUCCUCGUUUACUAAACAUUGUCUACAUCAUGAGAAUGAGUUGGGUAAAAUGACAGUGUGGAACCUGUCAGACACAACUUUAUUUGAUCUUUUUGAACUUAGCUCUUGGGAUCUCCGAUCAUGCUGACUUGUCCUAGGCCUUAAACCCAUUCUCUUGGAUAUCCUCUGUGCUCCUUCUCUAGACAGGCCUUUUGUAAGUGAAUCCGACACAUUAUCCUUUGACUUCACAUAGUCAACAGUGACAAUUCCACUAGAGAUACGUUCUCUAACGAUAUUAUGUCUCCAUAUUAUAUGACGAGAUUUAUCAUUGUACAUCAUGCUCCCUGCCUAACUAUUUUCGCUUGUCUAUCACAGUGUAUGCAUACUAGUGCCACUGGUUUGGACCAAUAAGGAAUAUCUUUCAAGAAAUUUCAAAGCCAUUUUGUUUCUUCACCGGCUUUAUCCAAUGCGAUAAAUUCAGAUUCCAUUAUAGAGCGAGCGAUACAUGUAUGUUUGGAUGUUUUCAAGAGACCGCUCCUCCACUGAUAGUAAAUACAUAUCCACUUGUGGAUUUUAUUUCGUUCAAUACGGUAAUCUAAUUUGCAUCACUAUAUCCUUCAAGUACUGCAGGAUAUUUAUUAUAAUGCAAAUCAUAGUCUUGACUGUACUUAAGAUAACCCAAAUCUCUUUUCAUUUCCAUCCAAUGAGUUUUGUUGGGAUUACUCAUAUACCGACUCAAUUUACUAAUAGCAUAUGCUAUGUCUGGUCGUGUACAAUUUAUUAUAUAUAUUAAUAUCCUAAUAUUCUUGUAUACUCCAAUUAUGAGUCACUUUCACCUUCAUUCUUUCGAAGUGCGAAGCUCACAUCCAAUGGAAUCUUGGCAAUACCAAAUUUAUAUACUUGAAUUUGUCAAGUACCUUUUUGAUAUAAUGAGACUGUGACAAUGCCAACGUUUGUGGAAUUCUAUGGAUUCUUAUUACUAAGAUCACAUCCGCAACUCCAAGGUCUUUCAUAUCAAACUUGCUCUCGAGCAUUCGUUUCGUUGCAUUUAUGUCAGAAAUAUCUCUACUGAUGAUCAACAUAUCAUCCAUAUAUAAACAAACAAUAACUUGGUGAUUUGGAGUGUCUUUAAUAUAAACACAUUUAUCACAUUCGUUAAUCUUGAACCCGUUUGCCAACAUGGUUUGGUCAAACUUCGCAUGCCAUUGUUUAGGUUCUUGUUUUAGUCCAUAAAGUGACUUAAAAAGUUUACACACCUUAUUUUCUUUUUCUGGUACCAUGAAACCCUCAGGUUGUUCCAUGUAAAUUUCUUCCUCUAAUUCUCCAUUUAGGAAUGCUAUUUUCGCAUCUAUUUGAUGGAUUUUAAGAUCAUAUACUACCUCUAAGGCAAUUAACAUUUGAAUUGACAUUAUCCUCGUUACCGGCAAGUAUGUAUCACAGUAAUCAAGGCCUUCCUUUUGUUUAAAGCCUUUUACAACAAGUCUUGCCUUGUAUUUGUCAAUAGUACCAUUAACUUUCAUUUUCCUUUUGAAGAUCUAUUUAGAACCUAAAGGUUUAUUUUCUGGAGGAAGAUCAACCAACUCCCACGUAUGGUUGCUUAAGAUUGAAUCAAUCUCUUUAUUGACUACCUCUUUUCAAAAGGAUGAGUCCGAAGAUGCCAUUGCUUCUUUAAAUGUUUGAGGCUCAUUUUCUAAGAGAAAUGUUACAAAAUUCUAUCCAAAUGAAGUUAAUGUUCUUUGACGUGUACUAUGUCUUGGAUUCUCAUCAUUAUGUACAUCCUCACUUGGUUCAUUUCGUGGUCAUUUAGACCCUCUACUAUACUAUUCCUAUCUAAUUUUAUACAGAUAAAUGUGUUCAAAGAAUUCAUCAUUAUCUGAUUCAAUUACCAUAUUUUCAUUGAUAUCUGGAUGUUCAGAUUUAUGAACCAAAAAUCGACAUGCUUUACUACUUUUAGCAUAUCCUAUGAACACGUAGUCCACCGUCUUAGGUCCUAUCCUUACUCUUUUAGGCAUAGGAACUUAGACCUUCGCUAGACACCCCCACACUUUGAAAUAUUUUAAGUUGGGUUUUCUUCCAUUCAAUUUCUCAUAUGGAAUUAAUUGUGUCUUACUAUGGGAAAAUCUAUUGAGUAUUCGGUUAGCCGUAAGGAUAGCUUCCUCCCAUAAGUUUUGUCGUAAACUUGAACUUAUUAGUAAGGCAUUCAUCAUUUCCUUCAAGAUUUGAUUUUUUAUUUCCGCAAUUCCAUUAGAUUGAGGUGAAUACGGGGUUGUAGUUUGAUGGACAAUUCCAUUCUCUACAUAUAUUUGCGCAAAAGAAAAUUUAUAUUCUUUGCCCCUAUCAGUUUUUAUCAUUUUGAUCUUUUUCUCUAACCGAUUUUCAACUUCAGUUUUAUAUUGCCUAAACGCAUCUAUUAUUUUAUCCUUACUAUUUAGCAAAUAGACGUAACAAUAUCUAGUGCAAUCAUCAAUAAAAGUUAUAAAAUACUUUUUUCACCAUGAGAUAGUGUUGACUUCAAAUCACAAAUAUUAGUUGGAUUAAGUCUAAGGAUUGAAAUUCCUUUUAACGGACUUAUAUGGAUGCUUAACAUACUUUGAUUCCACACACUUUGACAUUUUGAUUUAUUGUACUCGAAGUUUGGCAAAACUUCUAAGUUAAUCAAUUUAGUAAAAUUUUGUAAUUGACAUGUCCUAAUCGUUCAUGCCAUUAAAUCAUAAGACUCAAGCAAGUAAGAAAAAAUUAAACUUUUAUUGAUUUCAACAUUCAUUACAUUCAUUUUGAAUAGGCCCUCAUUGAGGUAACCUUUUCCUGUAUACACUUCUCCUUUGCUAAGUACAAUUUCUCUGGAAAAAAAUACAUAUUUGAAUCUAUUCUUGUCAAGAAGUGAUACAGAAAUCAAGUUCUUUCUUAACUCUGGUGCAUACAAGAUAUUGUUGAGUGUCAACACUUUGCCUGAAGUCACUUUCAAGCAUACUUUUCCUGUUCCUUCUAAUUUUGCAGUAGCAGAGUUAGCCAUAAAGAUCUUUUCUUCCCCUUGAGCCAGAGGAAAAGAAGAAAAUAACUCCUUAUUAGCACAAACAUAGCGGGUGACACCGGAAUUCAUCCACCAUUCUUGAGGAUUUCCCACCAAGUUGCAUUCGAACAGCAUAGCACACAGAUCAUCCACUUCUUUCUUGGACUCAGCAACAUUUGCUUGGUCCUUCUUCUUCCUUUCCUUUGGGGCACUACAAUCCAUAGACUUGUGGCCAAUCUUGCCAUAGUUGAAACAUUUUUUCUUGAAUUUUUUAUUGGGUUGAUUGCUUUCAUGUCCAGCUUUCUUGCACUUUUUGGAGUUGUGGUCGUCUUCUACAAUAUUUACUCCAUUCAUUGUAAAAUUUCCUCUCAUCCUUCUUUCUACUGCCUUAUUGUCUUCUUUAAUGCACAAUCUUAUGAUUAGAUCUUUGAUAGACAUCUCCUUACGUUUGUGUUUCAAAUAUAUAAUACCUCGUAUUUUUACCUACAUUGAAAUCAUCCUAAGUAUGUUACAAACCUACUUUGAAAGACAAAUCCACUUUAUAUACGUGGAAUUUUUAAGAUUUUCAUUUUUUGUCAUGUGGAAAAUUGAAUUAGCUUUCUAAUAAUACCAAUUUCAUCUUAAUCUGGUAUUGGGGUAGAAAGUUAUGGUUGUUUUACAGAAAACAGUCAAAACUGCCCAGGUGCGACGAUGAGGGCCGACGGAUCGUCAAACUAGCGAUGGACCGUCACCCAAACCAUCGCAGCGGAAGUAGUGAGACCACCUUCUGCCUAAGGGCGAUGGCUCAGGCCGACAAACCGUCGAGCUAGCAACGGACCAUCACCUAAGCCGUCGCAGCAGAGGCAGUGAACCCCUAUUCUACCCAGGUGUGAUGGUCAGGAUAGACGGACCGUCGACCAGCAACGGACCGUCGAACCCACUAUCGCAUAGUUCAUUUAGUUAUUUUAAAGUAGCUUUUAAAAGGGUAUUUGGGUCUUUUUUUCCACCCAUUUUAACCUAUAAUUAUAUCAUAUCAAGGCUAAUAAGUUCAUUAUACAUCUACAAUAUCAAAUUAGGGUUUUCUCUCAAAGAUAAUCCCCAAGAAUAAGAUCCAAAUCCUUCUUCAAGAAACUAAGAAAUUCAAGUUCUUCAAGUCCAAGAACUUCAAGAAACUUACAACCCAAGUAUGUCAUGUGUUGAUUCAUGGGCCUCUUUCACCCAUGAAGCUCAAGAAUUUCUUUUCAAAAUCCAAGAUUUAUGUAUAUAUGAAUGUUCAUGAUUGAAAUUUAAUUGAAAUUCAUGUUUAUGAUGUUGUGGGGUUUUGAUUCAUGUUUGAAAUUACAUAUUCUAGUGAUUGGCCCUAGGAUGUGGUGAUUUGUAUAUUAAUCAUGAUAAACCCUUAAAUAUACAUCAUGAUUGGUGUAUCCAUGAUUAUUAGAUGUGUUGAUGAUUGUAUAACUAAAGCAUGCUCCCCAUGUGUUCGAUUAAACGCCUAUGUUAAGGAAAGGUGCCAUACUAGUAUGAUAAUAUGAAAUCCCCAUUUAUAUACAAGUUUAUGUAUGUCCAGUGUUGAUGAAAUGUCUUAGUCAAUGAAUUAUGGAUAUAUGUGUAGCCAUUGUGGUGUUUUAAGACUUGUACUUCAAGAAAUCUCAAACUUAUUGUAUUAUGGAUUGUGAUGUUGGACGUGUAUUCAAGAAAGUUAUGCUUUGUCAAUUUACUUCUGUCGAGUCAUGGGGUACUUGUACCCAAAAAUUUAGCUGUGUGCCUAGAAUCAAUGUCAUGUUUUCAAGAUACGCUUAGUCAAGCCAUGAUCCAUAGAAUUUAAUCAGUCUCAUGACUCAAGAAAACUCAGUAAUCUCAGUAGUAUUCCGUCAGUCCAAAAAAUUUAGUUAACUUAGUCCAGUCAGUUCAGUUAAUCAUGUUUAAUGUCUAUUCAGAUGGGAGUAGAAAUUAACACCGAGUGAACCCAAGGAUGGGAACUCACUUGUUAUAUGAGCGUGUGAUUCUUAGAAAUAAUCCUUGCAUUCCAGAACUACGUAGCCAGCGUAGGUUGAGACAUCAUAGCCUGUUAUAUGAGGGUAGAUAAUGUGGCUUAACCUGUUAUAUGAGAGUUCCCACCGUUCUCACUAGAGCUACCUGUUAUAUGAGGGUUACUCACAGAUUGUCCUUACCAGUGGCGUGGUAUUGACACCCUUUUAAUUGGGGUUACAGAUUGGAUCCCAACUCAGCUAUAUUGCAUUAUUUGGGGCAUGUCGGUUAGAUGACUACUUCCCACAGUUUCAGUUAUAGAUCAGGACUGUUAGAUACAGUCGUUCAGUCUUAGUAAUAGAACUCAAAUAGUUCUACAGAAUUCAGGGCUGUCAUAUAUAGUCAACUCAGAAUAGAAUGGAACUCAGCUAGUUCCAUCAGAAACUAGACUAACAGAUAUAGUCUUUCAGUAUUACUUAUUUUAUUUAUACAGUAUAUUAUGCAGUGUUUAGGUGCAGAUAUCAAUCAUAGGUUAGCUUGUGGUCCUUCGGGGUCAUGAGCACCGUGUAGCAUUUCAGGUACCAGAUUUGGGGCGUUACAAACUUGGUAUCAGAGCCUAAGGUUCAAUAGUGUCCUAGGAAGUCUGAAAGCCACAUCUAGUAGAGUCUUGUACAUGGGUGUGUUGCACGCCACAUUAAUGUACAAGAGGCUAUGAGAUAUUUUAGGAAAAGUUUCCCUUCUUUUAGUAUUCAUGUCGUGCCAGUGAGCAUAAUCUCAAGUCAAUUUCUCGAUCUAAUCCAUUUCUCCCUUUCUUUUAUAGAACAUGCAUCCUAAAAGAAGAAAUGGGAAUCAGCCAGCCCCUCAGCCCAACGAUCCUUUGGGCAAACAUGUCUCUCAUGUAGAGUUUAGAGCUGCAUUCACUACUCUUGCUCAGUCAGUUGCUACUCAGAAUGAACGACCAGCUGUCGUUUCAGCCAACCCUGUGGCCAAUUCAGCUGUAGCCACGAUUCGAGACUUCACCCGAAUGAAUCCUCUAUCCUUUUAUGGGUCUAAGUCAGACGAGGGCCCUCAGGAAUUUCUUGAUUAGGUUCAUAAGGUUAUGGAUAUCAUGGGGUUUACUUCUAGUAAUAGUGCGGAGCUAGCUAUAUAUCAAUUGCAGGAUGUUGCUCACACUUGGUACAAAUAGUGGAAGUCAGAAAAGGUUGUAGAUGCAGGGCCUAUUGAGUGGGAGGAGUUUACUGCUACCUUCUUAGAUAGGUUCUUUACCCUAGAGCUUAGAAAAGCUAAGGUGUUGGAAUUUAUAAACCUCAGGUAGGACAACCUGACGGUGAAAGAGUAUUCUCUCAAGUUUACUCAAUUAUCCAGAUAUGGUUAUCAUGUGGUUGCAGAUAGUAGGGCCAAAAUGAGUAAGUUUGUUUUUGGGGUGAAUGAUAGUAUGGUCAACCAGUGUAGGUCUGUGAUGUUGAAUAGUGUUAUGAACAUAGCUAGGCUUAUAACGCACGCUCUGCAGAUAGAGGAGAAAAAAAUUAAGAUGAGGGAGAAGCAGAAUAAGAAAGCAAGAACAGGUAGUUUCAACUUUGCUCAGCCCAAAUUAGAAGAAGGAAACCGUUCUCAGUUUUAUCCUAAGUCAUCAGUUCCAUCUCCUUCUUCAGCUAGUGCUCCAGCUCUUCUCAAGGCAGUGUUAGUAGUACUCGCACCUUUCUUCUUUGCCAGACUUAUGAUAAACACCAUCAGGGUAUUUGAAGAGCUGACAGUGGUAUUUUUUUUGGAUAUGGCAAGCCAGGCUACAGAGUUAGAGACUGUUCUUAGCCAGGUCCUCAGGGUCAGCAGAACCAUUCCCCAGCUCAGUCCUGUCACCCAAAUCAGUAGGGUGCCACCUCUUGUGCUACUAGUGGGAAACACCCAAAUUGAAUUUAUGCUCUCUAGUUCUAGAAAGAUCAAAAAAAUUCUCCUGAUACGGUUACUGGUAUGUUACAGAUCAUUUAUAUGCAUAUUUACGCUUUGCUAUAUCUAGGAGCUUCUGUCUUUUGUUACUCCCUAUAUAGUAGUUGAUUUCGAAGUCAGUCCCGAAAUUCUAGCAGAGCCCUUUUCAGUCUCUAUCCCAGUGGGUAAAACCAUCAUAGCCCAGCGGGUAUAUAAGAACUGCCCGGUUAUGGUAUCUCAGAAAGUCACUUCAGCAGACUUAGUCGCAUUAGAGAUGACUAAUUUUGAUGUCAUUCUCAGGCUCCCCCCCUGCUAGGCCACAGUCGACUAUAGAAAUAGAAUAGUCUAAUUCUAGUUUCCGAAUGAACCUGUCCUAGAGUGGAGUGGUAGUACUUCAGCUUUCAGAGGUCAGCUUAUUUUCUACCUUUGGGCAAGGAAAAUGAUAUCUAAAGGAUGUGUCUAUUAUCUUGUUCAAGUUAAUGACACUAUUUUUAAAAAUCCCAUUCUUGAUUCAGUCCCAGUCGUGAAUGAAUAUUUAGAUGUUUUUUUCGAAGAUCUUCCAGGAAUAUCUCCCGAAAGGGAAAUAGACUUCGGCAUUGAUCUUCUUCCAAAUACUCAGCCUAUAUCUAUUUUGCCAUAUAAAAUGGCACCAACAGAACUCAGAGAAUUGAAAGAACAGUUGAAGGAUCACUUAAAUAAGGAAUUCAUCAGACCCAGUAUGUCUCCGUGGGGCGCACCAGUCUUAUUUGUGUGUUCAAGCUGUGCUUGGACAUGUUCAUCAUAGUUUUCAUAGAUGACAUCCUUGUUUAUUCCCGCAGUGAGCAUGGUUAUGCAGACCAUCUCAGAAUAGUAUUGCAGACUCUAAAAAAUCAUCAGUUGUUCACCAAAUUUAGUAAGUGCAAAUUUUGGCCAAGUUCAGUAGCAUUCCUUGGUCAUAUUGUUUAUGGUGAUGGCAUUAGGGUUGAUCCUCAAAAGACUAAAGUGGUAAGAAACUGGCCCAGACCUGUUUCUCCAUCAAAUAUCAAGAGUUUCUUGGGUUUGGCUGGCUAUUACCGAAGGUUUGUGGAGGGAUUUUCUAUUGUAUCCCCUAUGUCCAAAUUUACUUAGAAGAAAGUCAAGUUUCAGUGGUCAGAUCCUUGCGAGAAGAGUUUUUAGGAGUUGAAGACUCGACUCAUCUCAGCUCCAGUUUUAGCUCUUCCAGAUAGUCUAGAUGGGUUCGUAGUGUAUUGUGAUGCAUCCAGAGUAGGUUUGGGUUGUGUCCUCAUGCAGCAUGGUAAGGUCAUAGCCUACGCAUCUAGGCAACUUAAACCCCAUGAGAAGAAUUAUCCUACUCAUGAUCUUGAGUUAGCAGCCAUAGUUUUUGCCUUAAAGAUUUGGAGGCAUUAUCUAUACGAGGUUCAUGUAGAUGUGUUCACAGAUCAUAAGAGCCUUCAGUAUGUCUUUUCUCAGAAAGAUCUCAAUCUUCGUUAGAGAAGGUGGUUAGAACUCUUGAAAGAGACAGUAAGAAGAAGUUAGCUCAGGAAAUCCAUCAGUUUUCCAUACCAGGCAUUAGCUUAGUCGAUUCAAAGGAGGGUUACAUAUCGGUUCAGAGUAGUUCAGAAUCAUCUCUAGUUUCCGGGGUGAAAGAAAAACAAGAUAGAGAUCUCAGCCUUAUCAAGUUAAAAGAGUCAUUCAAGGAUCAAAAAGUAGAGGUUUUCUCUCAAGGGGGAGAUGGUGUAUUGCGUUAUCAGGGUUGUCUGUGCGUUCUAGGUGUAGACAACUUAAGGCAGUGAAUUCUUGCAGAAGCAUAUAAUACACUCUACUCUAUUCAUCUAGGGGCCACAAAGAUGUACCGUAACUUACGAGAAAUCUAUUGGUGGAGUGGGAUGAAUAGAGAUGUUGCAGAGUUUGUGGUUAAGUACUCUGUAUGUAAGCAGGUUAAGAUAGAGCAUCAAAAGCCUAGUGGGUCAAUGCAGGAGUUCAGUAUUCCUACUUGGAAGUGGGAAGAAGUGAACAUGGACUUCAUUAUGGGUUUUCCUCGUACUCGUCGCCAGCAUAAUUUAGUUUGGGUCAUUGUAGAUAGGAUGACCAAAUCAGCUUAUUUCCUUCCAGUCCAUACCUCUUAUUAAGCCAAGGAUUACACCAAACUCUACAUUAGAGAGUUGGUCAGAUUGCACGGUGUUCCGUUAUCUAUAUCUCAGACAGAGGUACCCAGUUUACCUCUCAUUUUUGGAAAGCAUUCCAAAAGGGUCUUAGUACCCAAGUUCAUCUCAAUAUCACCUUUCAUCCUCAGAUAGGUGGUAAAGCUAAAAGGACCAUUCAGACUUUAGAAGAUAUGCUGCGAGCGUGUGCAAUUGAGUUCAAGGGUAGUUGGGAUGACCACUUGCCUUUGAUUGAGUUUUCAUACAACAACAACUAUCAUUCCAGUAUUAAGAUGGCUCCAUUCAAAACUCUUUAUGGUAGGAGAUGCAGAUCUCCAGUCGGUUGAUUUGAAGUUAAUGAGGCCUCUGUUAUAGGGCCUGACUUCGUAUUCGAUACCUUAGAAAAAGUCCAGUUGAUCAGAGAAAGACUCCGGGCUGCUCAGAGCCGACAGAAGUCUUAUGCAGAUGUGCAUAGAAAGGAUCUCGAGUUUUAGAUUGGUGAUUAUGUCUCUCUAAAGAUCUCUCAUAUAAAGGGAGUGAAGAGAUUCAGCAAGAAGGAAAAGCUCAGUCCUCGAUAUGUCGACCUCUUCAAGAUUCUCAGUCAAUUCGGCAAGGUAGCUUAUGAGGUUGAGUUGCCUUCAGAUCUAGCCUCAGUUCAUCUAGUCUCCCAUGUUUCUUUGCUCAAGAAGUGCAUAGGUGACCCAACAGUCAUAGUCCUUAUUCAACGCAUAGAUGUUCAGAACAGCCUCUCUUAUGAAGAGAUUCCAGUCGAAAUUCUUGACUACCAGACUGGCAGACUGAGGAACAAAGAAGUCCCUCUAGUCAAAGUUCUUUGGCGGAAUCAGUCCGUUGAGGGAGAUACUUUGAAAGAAGAAGCAAACAUGGGUACCAUGUAUCCUCACCUCUUUUUUGCCAACUCAGAUCAAGCUCAAGGUAAUAGUUCUCCUUAAGCUUUUCAGGUUCAUGCUCAAAUUUCAGUUACAAGCUUGGUAUCCAUUACAUGUUCAGAAUUCCAUUAUAAACUUGGUAUUAAGUACCAUUCCAUAUCCAGUCAUGCAUUCAUGUGUCAGUUCAGUCAUGUAUUCAUGGAUCGAUAUACAUGUUUAGUUUGAUGAGAAACUCAUCUUAUCAAUAAUUCAGUCAUGCAGUUAUAAAUCAGUUACUCAUGCAUCAGAUAUGCAUGUUCAAUAUGAUAUAUAUUUAGUUUAUCAGUCAUGUUAGUCAUGGAGUCAUGCUUCAGUCAUUCAUAUUUAGUAUGUACGUCAUUUUAUCUUUUCCCCUCUCACUUAAUCUCAUUUGAGGAUGAAUGUUCUCAAGAGGGAGAUAUUAUAAUACCCUAUACUUCUACCUAUCUUGAAAUCGUCCCAAGUAUGUUAGAAACUGCAUUGAGGAAGAAAUUUAUGGCCGUUUUAUAAAAAAUAGUCAAACCUGCCCAGGUGCGACGAUGAGCGCCGACCGACUGUCGAGCUAGCAACGGACCGUCGCCCAAACCUUCGCAGCGAAGGUAGUGAGAUAACCUUCUACCUAAGGGAGACAAAUCAGGCCGACGGACCGUCGAGCUAGCGAUGGACCGUCGCCCAAGCCGUCACAGCAGAGGCUGUGAACCCUUAUUCUGCCCAGGUGCGAUGGUUAGGACCGAUGAACCAUCAACCCAUCGACGGAUUGUCGCACCCAUCAUUGCAUAGUUUGUUCAGUUAUUUUAAAGUCAUGUUCAAAAGGGUAUUUGGAUCUUUUUUCGACCCAUUUUAACCUCUAAUUAUAUCAGAUCAAGGCUCAUAAGUUCAUUAUCUAUCUACAACGUCAAAUUAGGGUUUUCUCUCAAAGAUAAUCGCUAAGAACAAGAUUCAAAUCCUUUUUCAAGAAACUAAAAAAUUCAAGUUCUUCAAGAAACUCACAACCCAGGUAUGUCAUGUGUUGAUUCAUGGGCCCUUUUCACCCAUGAAGCUCAAGAAUAUCUUUUCAAAAUCCAAAAUUUGUGUAUUUAUGAAUGUUCAUGAUUUAAAUUUAAUUGAAAUUCAUGUUCAUGAAGUUGGGGGGUUUUGAUUCAUUUUUGAAAUUACAUAUUCCAGUGAUUGACCUAGGAUGUGGUGAUUUGUAUAAUAAUCAUGAUAAACCCUUAACUAUAUAUGUUGAUUGAUGUAUUCAUGAUUAUUAGAUGUGUUGAUGAUUGUAUAACCAAAGCAUGCUCCCCAUGUGUUCGAUUAAGUGCCUAUGUGAAGGAAAAGUGUUAUACUAGUAUGAUAAUAUGAAAUUCCUAUUUAUGUACAAGUUUAUGUAUGUCCAGUGUUCGAUGAAAUGUCUUAGUCAAUGAAUUAUGGAUAUAUGUGUAGCCAUUGUGGUGCUUUAGAACUUGUACUUCAUGAAAUCUCCAACUUAUUGUAUUAUGGAUUGUGAUGUUGGUCGUGUAUUCAAGAAAGUCAUGCUUUGUCAGUUUCUUUCUAUCGAAUCCUGGGGGUACUGUACCCAAAAAUUUAGUUGUGUGUCUAGAAUCAAUAUCAUGUUUUCAAGAUACGCUUAGUCAAGCCAUGAUCCAUAGAAUUCAGUCAGUCUCAUGACUCAAGAAAACUCAAUAAUCUUAGUAGUAUUUCGUCAGUCCAUGAAAAUUCAGUUAACUCAGUCCGGUCAGUUCAGUUAAUCAUGUUCAGUGUCUAUUCAUAUGGGAGUAGAAAUUAGCACCGAGUGAACCCAAGAAUGGGAACCCACCUGUUAUAUGAGUGUGUGAUUCUUAGAAGCAAUCCUUGCAUUGCAGAACUACGUAGCCAGCGUAGGUUGAGACAUCAUAGCCUGUUAUAUGAGGGUAGAUGAGGUGGCUUCAUUCUCACUAGAGUUACCUGUUAUAUAAGGGUUACUCACAGAUUGUCCUUACAAGUGGCGUGCUAUUGACACCCUUCCAAUUGGGGUUACAAAUUGGACCCCAACUCAGCUUGAUUGUGUUAUUUGACGCAUGUCAGUUAGAUGACUACUUCCCACAGUUUUAGUUAUAGAUUAAGACUAUUAGAUAUAGUCAUUCAGUCUCAAUAAUAGAACUCAGAUAGUUCUAGAGAAUUCAGGACUAUCAGAUACAGUCAACUUAGAACAGAACGGAACUCAACUUGUUCCAUUAGAAACUAGACUGUCAGAUACAGUCUCUCAGUAUUAGUUAUUUUAUUUAUACAGUAUAUUGUGUAGUGUUCAGGUACAGAUAUCAGUCAUGGGUUAGCUUGUGGUUCUUCGGGGUCAUGAGCACCGUGUAGCAUUUUAGGUACCAGAUUUAGGGCGUUACAAACUUGGUAUCAGAGCCUAAGGUUCAAUAGUAUCCUAGGAAGUCUGAAAGCUGCAUCUAUUAGAGUCUUGUACAUGGGUGUGUUGCACGCCACAUUUAUGUACAGGAGGCUAGAGAUGUUUUAAGAAAAGUUUCCCUUCUAUUCAUGUCGUGCCAAUGAGCAUAAUCUCAAGUCAAUUUCUCAGUGUAAUUUGUUUCUCCCUUUCUUCUAUAGAACAUGCCUCCUAAAAGAAGAAACGGGAAUCAGCCAGCCCCUCAGCCCGAAGAUCCUUUGGGUGAACAUGUGUCUCAUGCAGAGUUUAGAGCUGCAUUCACUACUCUUGCUCAGUCAAUUGCUGCUCAGAAUGAACGACCAACUGUCAUUUCAGCCAACCCUGUGGCCAAUUCAGCUGUAGCCACGAUUCGAGACUUCACCCGAAUGAAUCCUCUAUCCUUUUAUGGGUCUAAGUCAGACGAGGGCCCUCAGGAAUUUCUUGAUUAGGUUCAUAAGGUUAUGGAUAUCAUGGGGUUUACUUCUAGUAAUAGUGCGGAGCUAGCUAUAUAUCAAUUGCAGGAUAUUGCUCACACUUGGUACAAAUAGUGAAAGUCAGAAAAGGUUGUAGAUGCAGGGCCUAUUGAGUGGGAGGAGUUUACCACUACCUUCUUGGAUAAGUUCUUUCCCCUAGAGCUGAGAGAAGCUAAGGUGUUGGAAUUUAUCAACCUCAGGCAGGGCAACAUGACGGUGAAUGAGUAUUCUCUUAAGUUUACUCAAUUAUCAAGAUAUGCUCAUCAUGUGGUUGCAGAUAUUAGGGCCAAGAUGCGUAAGUUUGUUUUUAGGGUGAAUGAUAGCGCGGUCAACGAGUGUAGGCCUGCGAUGUUGAAUAGUGACAUAAACAUAGCCAGGCUUAUGACUUAUGCUCAGCAGAUAGAGGAGAAAAAAAUUAAGAUGAGGGAGAAGCAGAAUAAGAAAGUAAGGACAGGUUGUUUCAACUUUGCUCAGCCCAAAUUAGAAAGAGGACAUCGUUAUCAGUUUCUUCCUAAGUCAUUAGUUCCAUCUCCUUCUUCAGCUAGUGCUCCAGCUCUUAGAUUCAGAGACGAUAAUAGAGAUAGAGUGCCAGGCUCUAAGUCUCAGGGCAGUGUUAGCAGUGUCCUCACCUUUUCUCUUUGCCAGACUUGUUGCAAGCACUAUCAGGGUAUUUGAAGAGCUGGCAACGGUAUUUUUUUUGAAUGCGGCAAGCCAGGAUACAGAGUUAGAGACUGUCUUCAGCCAGGUCCUCAGGGUCAGCAGAACUGUUCCCCAGCUCAAUCCGGUCGCCUAAAUCAGCAGGGUGCCACCUCUAGUGCUACUAGUGCGCAACGCCCAAAUUGACUUUAUGUUCUCUAGUUCUGGAAAGAUCAAGAAAAUUCUCCUGAUGUGGUUACUGGUACGUUAUAGAUCUUUUAUAUGCAUAUUUAUGCUUUGCUAUAUCUAGGAGCUUCUUUGUCUUUUGUUACUCCCUAUAUAGCAAUUGAUUUCGAAGUCAGUCCUGAAAUUCUAGCAGAUCCCUUUUCAGUCUCUGCCCUAAUGGGUAAAACCAUCAUAGCCCGACGGGUAUACAGGAACUGCCCGGUUAUGGUAUCUCAGAAAGUUACUUCAGCAGACUUAGUCGAAUUAGAGAUGACUGAUUUUGAUGUCAUUCUCGACAUGGAUUGACUUUAUUCCUACUAUGCCACAGUCGAUCACAGAAAUAGAAUAGUCCAGUUCCAGUUUUCGAAUGAACCUAUCCUAGAGUGGAGAGGUAGUACUUUAUCUUUCAGAGGUCAGCUUAUUUUCUACCUUCGGGCAAGGAAAAUGAUAUCUAAAGGAUCUGUCUAUCAUCUUGUUUGAGUGAAGGACACUAGUUAUGAAACACCCAGUCUUGAUUCAGUCCUAGCCGUGAAUGAAUAUUUAGAUAUCUUUUCCAAAGAUCUUUCAGGAAUUCCUCCCAAAAGGGAAAUAGACUUUGGGAUUUAUCUUCUUUCAGAUACUCAGCCUAUAUUUAUUCCGCCAUAUAGAAUGACACCAGCAGAACUCAGAGAAUUGAAAGAGCAGUUGAAAGAUCUCUUAGAUAAGGGAUUCAUCUGACCCAGUGUGUCCCCGUGGGGAGCACCAGUCUUAUUCGUGCGCAAAAAAGAUGGUUCUCUCAGAAUGUGCAUUGAUUACCGUCAGCUCCAUAAAGUCACGGUCAAGAACAAGUAUACUCUUCCCCGAAUCGAUGACUUGUUCGACCAACUUCAGGGUGCUAGAAAUUUUUCUAAGAUAGACCUCAUAUCAGACUAUCAUCAGCUCAGAGUCAGAGAAUGUGACAUUCCGAAAAUAGCCUUUCGUACUCGCUAUGGUCACUUCGAAUUCUUAGUUAUGUGCUUUAGUCUUACCAAUGCCCCAGCAACUUUCAUAGACUUGACGAAUCGUCUAUUGAAGCAGUGCUUGGAUGUGUUCGUCAUUGUCUUUAUAGAUGGCAUCCUUGUUUAUUCCCGCAUUGAGUGUGAUCAUGCAGACCAUCUCAAAAUGGUAUGGUAGACUCUCAUAAAUCAUCAGUAGUUCGCCAAAUUCAGUAAGUGCGAAUUUUGGCUAAGGUCAGUUGCAUUCCUUGGUCAUAUUAUUUACGGUGAUAGCAUUAGGGUUGAUCCUCAAAAGACUGAAGUGGUAAGAAACUGGCCCAGACCUGUCUCUCCAUCAGAUAUCAGGAGUUUCUUGGGUUUGGCUGGCUAUUACCGAAGGUUUGUGGAGGGAUUUUCUAUUGUAUCCCCUAUUUCUAGAUUUACUUAGAAGAAAGUCAAGUUUCAGUGGUCAGAUCCUUGCGAGAAGAGUUUUCAGGAGCUGAAGACAACUCACCUCAGCUCCUGUUUUAGCUCUUCUAGAUGGUCCAGAUGGGUUCUAGUGUAUUGUGAUGCAUCCAGAGUAGGUUUAGGUUGUGUCCUCAUGCAGCAUGGUAAGGUCAUAGCCUACGCAUCCAGGCAACUAAAACCCCAUGAGAAGAAUUAUCCUACUUAUGAUCUUGAGUUAGCAGCCAUAGUUUUUGCCUUAAAGAUUUGGAGGCAUUAUCUAUACGGGGUUCAUGUAGAUGUUUUCACAGAUCAUAAGAGCCUUUAGUAUGUAGUUUCUCAGAAAGAUCUCAAUCUUCAUCAGAGAAGGUGGUUAGAACUCUUGAAAGAUUAUGACAUGAGUGUUCUUUAUCGUCCAGGCAAGGCCAACGUCAUGGCCGAUGCUCUUAGUAGACUAUCUAUGGGUGGUGUUACUCAUGUAUAGGACAGUAAGAAGAAGUUAGCUUAGGAAAUCUAUCACCUUGCCAGACUAGGAAUUCGCUUAGUCGAUUCAGAGGAGGGUGACAUAUGGGUUCAGAGUAGUUCAGAAUCAUCUCUAGUUUCUGAGGUGAAAGAAAAGCAAGAUUAAGAUCCCAGCCUUUUCAAGUUAAAAGAGUCAGUCAAAGAUCAGAAAGUAGAGGUUUUCUCCCAAGGGGGAGAUGGUGUAUUGCGUUGUCAGGGUCGUUUGUGUGUUCUAGGUGUAGACAACUUAAGGUAGUGAAUUCUUACAGAAGCGCAUGGUGUGUGCCACUCUAUUCAUCCCAGGGCCAUAAGAUGUACCACAACUAACGGGAAAUCUAUUAGUGGAGUGGGAUAAAAAGUGAUGUUACAGAGUUUGUGGUUAAGUACUCUGUAUGUAAGCAGGUUAAGAUAGAGCAUUAGAAGCCUAGUGGGUCCAUGCAGGAGUUCAGUAUUCCUACUUGGAAGUGGGAAGAAGUUUGCCUGGACUUUGUGAUGGGUUUCCCUCGUACUCGUCACCAGUAUGAUUCAGUUUUGGUCAUUGUAGAUAGGAUAACCAAAUCAGCUCAUUUCCUUCCAGUCCAUUCCUCUUAUUUAGCCGAGGAUUACACUAAACUCUACAUCAGAGAGUUGGUCAGAUUGCACGGUAAUCCAUUAUCUAUUAUCUCAGACAGAGGUACCCAGUUCGCCUUUCAUUUCUGGAAAGCGUUCCAAAAGGGUCUUGGUAUCCAAGUUCAUCUCAGUAUCACCUUUCAUCCUCAGACAGAUGGUUAAGCUGAAAGGACCAUUCAGACUUUAGAAGAUAUGUUGCGAGCGUGUGUAAUUGAUUUCAAGGGUAGUUGGGAUGACCACUCGCCUUUGAUUGAGUUUGCAUACAACAAUGGCUAUCAUUCCAGUAUUAAGAUGGCUCUAUUCGAAGUUCUUUAUGGUAGGAGAUGCUGAUCUCCAGUCGGUUGGUUUGAAGUUAAUGAGGCCUCAGUUAUAGGGCCUGACUUAGUAUUCGAAACCUUAGAAAAAGUCCAGUUGAUCAGAGAAAGACUCUGGGCUGCUCAGAGCCGACAGAAGACUUAUGCAGAUGUGCGCAGAAAGGAUCUCGAGUUUUAGAUUGGUGAUUAUAUCUAUCUAAAGAUCUCUCCUAUGAAGAAGAGAUUCAGCAAGAAGGGAAAGCUCAGUCCUCGAUAUGUCGGUCUCUUCAAGAUUCUUAGUUAAUUCGGCAAGGUAGCUUAUGAGCUCGAAUUGCCUUCAGAUCUAGCCUCAGUUCAUCUAGUCUUCCAUGUCUCUUUGCUCAAGAAGUGCAUAGGUGACCCAGCAGUCGUAGUCCCUAUUCAACGCAUAGAUGUUCAGAACAACCUCUCUUAUGAAGAGAUUCCAGUCGAAAUUCUUGACUUUUAGACUGGCAGACUGAGGAACAAAGAAAUCCGUCUAGUCAAUGUUCUUUGGCGGACUCAGUCCGUUAAGGGAGCUACUUAGGAAGCAGAAGCAGAUAUGCGUACCAAGUAUCCUUGCCUCUUCUCUGCCAACUCAGAUCAAGCUCAAGGUAACAGUUCUCCUUAAGCUUUUCAAUUUCAUGUUCAAAUUUUAUUUACAAGCUUGGUAUCCAUUUGAUGUUCAGAAUUCCAUUAUUAACUUGGUAUUAAGUACUAAUCCAUAGCCAGUCAUGCAUUCACGUGUCAAUUCAGUCAUUUAUUCAUGGAUCAGAUAUGCAUGUUUAGUUUGAUGAAAAACUCAUCUUAUCAGUAAUUUAGUCAUGCAGUCAUAAAUCAGUUACUCAUGCAUGUUCAGUAUGAUAUAUAUUCAGUUUAUCAGUCAUGUUAGUCAUAGAGUCAUGUUUCAGUAAUUCAUAUUCAACAUGUACGUCAAUUUAUCUUCUCCCCUCUCACUCAAUCUCAUUUGAGGACGAAUGUUCUCAAGGGAGAGAUAUUGUAAUACCCCAUACUUCUACCUAGCUUGAAAUCGUCCUAAGCAUGUCAGAAACUUACUUUGGAAGAUGAAUCUACUUUUAUAUACGUGAAAUUUUUAAUAUUUUUCAACGAUACUAAUUUCGUCCAAAUCCGACAUCGAGGUAGAAAGUUAUGGCCGUUUUACAAAAAGCAGUUAAAACUGCCCAGGUGCGACGAUGAGCACCGACCGACCGUCGAGCUAGCGAUGGACUGUCGCCCAAAUCUUCGCAGCGGAGGCAGCUGAGACCACUUUCUGCCUAAAGGGAGAUGGAUCAGGCCGAGGGACUAUCAAGCUAGUGACGGACCGUCACCUAAGCCGUCGCAGCUGAGGUAGUGAACCCUUAUUCUGCCCAGGUGCGAUGGUCAGGACCUACGGACCAUCAACCCAGCAACGGACCGUCGCACCCACCGUCGCAUAGUUUGUUCAGUUAUUUUAAAGUUAUUUUUAAAAGGGUAUUUGGGUCUUUUUCCCACCCAUUUUAACCUCUAAUUAUAUCAGAUCAAGGCUCAUAAGUUCAUUAUCCAUCUACAACAUCAAAUUAGGGUUUUCUAUCAAAGAUAAUCCCCAAGAACAGGAUCCAAAUCCUUCUUCCAGAAACUAAGAAAUUCAAGUUCUUCAAGUCCAAGAACUUCAAGAAACUCACAACCCAGGUAUGUCAUGUUUUCGGGUACACAAAUCUGUAUUUAGGCACACAACAAAUUCAACAUAAGUUCAAGUUUAAAACAAGAACACCUAUGAAGUUAUACAACACCUUCAACAUAAGAUUAAAAAUAAUCUAUUCAAGAAGUGUGUUAUUAUUUCAGAAAUACGAUGAAAUAGAAAUUUAAAGCCAAGUCCCCCGACUUAAUGGAGUGUCCUUAAGGAAUAAUUUCUCUCACUGUACCUAAGGUUAUGGAAUUUUAAUCCCAGGAUAAAAUGGCCUUCACUCCAAAAUAGUGGUACGUCAAAUUAUUGGAUUCGUCAAACUCACUCAGCGGCUAAUGAUCACACUAAGUUUUUUGUAGAGAAGAAGAGUGUUUUUGCUAUUAAAAAUUAUGUCUAUAUCUGAGGGAUAUGUCAAUUAUUUAUAGCCUUAAGGUGCCCCUUCGUAAAGAAUGCAUUGGUUCUGUAAAAAGGCACCGAUUCAGUACAGUCACAUCACAUGUGCCCAGUCUGUGCUGGAACUGUGGCCGCAGGUGACACUGUCUAAUUCCAGUGGCUACCUACGUUGCAUUUCUGCCUGCAGGUUGCCUAGGUGCACGUGCAGGUCACACUAUUGUGCGAACCAGUGUGCCUUUUACCUCGAAAGGUCGCAUCCCUUCGAGGUGCGUUGUGCAUGCAUUGGCAUAGCAUCCAAAAUGUGUUCGCACAUAGAGAAAAAUACUUUUAUCAAAUUCUUUGUAUUAAAAUUUUCAAAUAAAUUUUGUCUAAAAAAUAAAUCUCAUCGAUCAUUUGCCAAAUCCAAAUCCAAAUCUAAAUCCGAAGUCGAGCCGAGCGACGACAAUGACAGUGCGAGGCACCAUGACAGUGCGAAGUCGAGCCGAGCGACGACAAUGACAGUGCGAGGCACCAUGACAGUGCGAGGCACCACCUUGUUCUUGGCCGAAGCUGAAGCCGAGCAACGACGAUGACCACGGCGCUAGGCACCACCUUGUUUUUGCCUCACUAUCCAUAUGGAGAUGUGUUUCUCAAUAAAAAUACAUGAAAGCUUCUUUCUCGCACCAAUGUGGGAGAAUUUAGUAGACUUUCCAUAAAAGAGUACACGUUCCAAUUUUAGUGUCUCUCUUUCCCUCCACUAUUUUCCCCUCCAUUUUCCAUUCAUAGAUAUACCUUGAACCCAACAGUAACAACUGUGGGUUAGAGGAUGGAGCCUCAUCCUUUUUGUUAAGCUCAAAUUUUGAUAAUCUACCUGCUGUACAAAGGUGAUGGUCAUCAUUCUCAAUUAAGUGGGUUUGAUAAGUAUCUUCUACAUCUUCUGACCACCUUCAGAUCUCUAGGUGAACUUUUCCUAAAUGCUAGCUUAUUUCCAUUUACCAUAAACUACAUAUUUAGCUGCUUAAAAUUCCAUACGUUAUCAUCAAGUGUCAUAAGACACUUAUAUUCCCAGUACCGCACACCUCCACCUAAGGCACCACUAGCAUAUCAGACAAGAACUUAAUCCCUAUCAUCUUUCAUUUUACCCCUUGCUCAUAGGGGUGGUCAUGGUAUGAUAUGAUAUAUUAUUUGAAAUUUUGGUAUGGUAAUUUCAAUAUUUGAUUUUUAAAAAUGCUAUAUCAUUGUCAAACCAUAUUUGUUUGUCAUGGUUUGAUAUUUUGAAGUUCGAUUUCAGUAUUUUGCAGUAUGAUAAUUGAUAACCAUAGUUUAUUCAAUCUCGAUAAUAUAUAUUGUGUAUAUAGUAUUAUGACUUUAACUUUUCAAAAACACAUCUCAACUAUAUGUACUUACACGUUACACAUGUAGAAAUAAAUUUUAAAAUGGAAGUACAAACAACUACUUUUGUUAAUUAAUUACUCAAAAGAGACAUUACAAUCAAGAUAGAGUAGUUAAAGCUCCAACAUCUAAACAUUUUUUUAUAAUAGUAAUACUAAGUAGUAUAUUUUUAAAAUUUUUAAUGAUAUUUAUGAGUUAUUUAUGUAACUAUAUACUUUGGUAUGAUAGUCGUUAAUUUGGUAUGUCAUUUAUAAAUCUCAAAUGCCAUAUCAUAUAACAAAAAAAAUAUCUAUCAUAUAUCAUAUCAAAUACCAUAAUACCAAAACUAUGGUAUCAAAAUUUUUUAAUUUGAUAUAUACCAUACUAUGCCCAUCCCUACUUGCUCAUAUAAGAUUCAUACACCUUACUACUAUUAGCUACAGAUUCUACAAAGGAAGAGAGGUUCUAGCUAACAACUACCUAGUCUCUUGGCAAUUUCUAAGUUAAUAAAAUUGUGAGUUUUUUUUUGGUUAGAAAGAUAGCAUAAUAUAUAAAUAGCAAAUGUGCAGUCCAGGCUUUUAGCCAGGGUUAUAGUCCAUAGUUGAGGGAAUUAAUCCCUGAUCUAGGCUAUUACAAAAGAUAACCUCCCUUUCAAAGGUAGUUCCUAUAGUUGAGGGAAUUAAUCCCUGAUCUAGGCUAUUACAAAAGAUAACCUCCCUUUCAAAGGUAGUUCCUAUCAUGUCUGCACAUAAUUGUUUACGAGCAUACAUUGGGGGAACUUCAAAAAGUCUUGAUUCAGCAAAAAAAAAUUGAUUCAGCUCUAAGUUUGGCCAUUGCAUCUGCAAUACUAUCUUGUUCCCUAAACACAUGUUGCACCAAGGGAUUUCCUAGCCUGGUCAAUUUUGACCUGCAAAUAUCCAGAAGAGCAUUGUAGAGAAUAUUACCAUGAGUUAUCAUAUCAAUAACCUCCAUGGAAUCAAUGUUAAUUUCAAUGGGUUGGAGAUUACAGUCUUCAGCUAAGUUAAGUCCUUCACUUAAAGUUAAGAUCUCUAUUUGAUUGUUGAUGGCUUUAUGAAAUCUUCUAGUAAAUCCAGUGAUCCAUUGUUUAUUGGCAUCUCUAAUGACACCCCCAAUUCCACCCUUAUCGGGGAUCCCAAAGCAGGAACCAUCGAUAUUGAGUUUGUAAGCACCUGCCUAGGAAAGGAUCCAUCCAACCUAGAAGGUGACUGUACUCCAUUCUUCCCUAUAUGGCAUAGACUAAAUUAUAAGGGUUCAUAUAUGUAUCUUUAUUUUUCUUCCUCUUCUAAUUGUUGAUUCUUUCCUCGACAGGCUUCUACUCCUCACUCUUCCAUUAUGUUUUCCCCUCCUACAAUUGUAACCCAAAACAAAAUUCUCAUCAGACAAAAACAUAACCUUUUAGCUCUUUAAUCUAUGCUCAAUCACCCUUUUGGAGCCUUUAAAAUUUGGGUUAUUAUUGAAAUUUUAGGGUUUUGGAUUUACCUGAGCUUUUUUCUUGACCCUUGAAACAAAGAGUUUGUAGUACAUGGACCUCCAUUUUUUGACCCUUGAGACCAAGAACUCGAAGUAGGUAACAAGGCCUUGUUCUAUUGAGUCCCUGCUUGCCCUUGUCUCCUUUGCAAAAAUGGUGAUUGCUCAACCAAUUUAGUUAUACUAUUAGCUUUCUUGAGAGAUCGAGGAGCCAUUAUCCGUACCCUAGCCUUAAUUUUAGAUUCAAUCCCUUCAAAAAUCAGCUAAUUAAAUAUUCUUCGGACAACUCUACUUGAAUCAAUUUCUCAUAGAAUCUAUCCAAAAAUUCUUGUACACCUCUAACUUAUCUCAACCCCACUCAUUCUAACAUAGGGUCAUCCUAUAAGGUGUGGCCUAACCUCUGAUGCAAUGCCCUCUCGAAAUUAUUCCAAUUAGGUAAUCUCCUCCUUACUCGGGUUCUUAUCAUAGCCUGGCGCCAUUGUAGUGCUCUGUGGAAGUGAUUGUUUAAAUAUUGACCUUGGAGUCCUCCACAACUCUAUUAUAUUUGAGCUUGAAAUCAUAUCUCCUUUUUUUUUAUUAAAAAUUGAUAUUAUCAUAAAUUACAUGUCUCAUUAGCAUAACUAAACUACUAUUACCACUUCACUCUUUGUAAUUCCAUCUAAGACUCAUAAGUUGCACAAAUUUGUCCAAUAAUUUCCUAAAAACUGACAAGCUCUUGCUUUCUUGUCUGUCACUCUUAUUUGAUAUCCAAACUUCUUGGGGUGUGACAAUUGUUGUUGCCUUUACCACAAUUAAUAUUUGUUGGGGAUUUCCACAAAAUAAUCAAAAUCCAUUUCCUGAAAUUUGAGUUUAACCAUCUUGAAGAGACCAACAUAAUUAUUUCUAUUUUUUAUGGUCUAACAAUUUUGUAAGUAAUAUUUUUUCUAAGAAUAAAUUAUAAAAUAUCUUAAAAUUGUUGAAACUCUUAUGAAAAUACUUGAUUAUAGAAAUUGUUGAAAAUUCUCAUAGUUUGAACAGUUUCAAUGAUACUAUCUUUGAUGACAUUCACCUGGUGUAGAUGUAUCUCCUGAGAUUUAAUUAAUUCUUAUGAUAUAAAACUUUGAGGAGAUAAGCAUUUGAUACACCUCCAACUAUGGUCAAAGUUGUUACGGCACACUUUAACUUCACAGGGGUUAUAUUAUUGUUGAACUUAAUUUUAACAUAUUUUUGUCACUCUUUUAUACUGGCGUGACACCUUUAUUACAUAAAAUAAAGGUCACGUCGAAGGUGCCACGUCAACUAAAAAGGAUGGCAAAAAUACACUAAAAUUUAGUUCAGGGAGGGUAAUAGGACCUCCGUGAAGUUGGAGUUUAUCGUAGUAAAUUUUGUCAUAGUUCAGGAGGUACUAGAUGCUUUACUCAAACUUUGAGUACAAAAAUUGUGAAAAUUAUUAAAGUAGAUUUUUUAGAUAUUAUAGAUUCUCUAGUUAGUUUCUACAAUAGUCUAGAGCAGUAUCCUGAUAAGCAUCUUGUAGAAAUAUCUAGAUAUUUUAGAGUAGUGCUAGAAGAUAAAAUUAUCUAGAUCAUUCUUGUAAAUAUAUCUAUAAUAGUAUCUAGAAUCAUCUCUACACAAGUAUAUAUUGGGGUGGUUUUCGUCAUAUGUAAUCAAUCCAAAUCAACUCAAUUCAAGAGUCUUCUUCUAUAACAUUCUUUGCUCAACAUUCUAAUCCACCUUUUAUAGCUUUCUCUUCUUUAGUUGAAACUUCUGAUCUUAGUUAACGAUCCUGAACAAGUAGAAGGUCUCCCUAAUUAUACUUUUUUCUUUUAUUCUCUACAAAAAUUAAUAAAAAUUAAUUAAAGGAAAGUACCAGGGAUGGACCUAUGUAGGAUUUUAGGGUGCUCCGGCACCCACUAAACUCGACACGGAAUAGGUAUAAUUAUGUAGAAAAUAAAGAAAAAUAGGUAUAAAACAUAUAAAAGCACCCACAAUAACAAAAAGUUGGUUGGGUGCAUUGACAUUUAGGUUGAUCUUAAGGUCUUUCAUUGGAAGAAGGCCUCGGGUUCGAACCUCAUUGUGGUGAUUUUUUAGUUUUUAAAUUUUUUAAGAACCCACUAUCCUUAAAUCCAAGGUCCGCCACUGGAAAGUACUCGAUACAAUAUAAUAAGGAGGAGGAAAUUUCUCUCAGUCUAAAUUAUUCUACCAAUAUGUUAAUUUGAUCAUCAAACACAUGAAAAUAUGUAUUUGAGAGAAUUUUAAGAUACUCAUAUCAUAUAAACUCAAAGAAAUUAUAGAGAGAAAAAAAAUUGCUUAUACAGAAUAAAUUUCUCUAAUCCACACAUUAAAUAUUCACCUAUAUAUACAAUUCCACUAAUCUAAGCACUAAAAUAUAUGCAAUUACCAACUACUUAAAAACUAACAAACUAAUUAGCUUAACCAACUCAGAAUGACAGCUAGUGACAACUAGCCUCCAACUCCAACUCAACUAUUUGCUCUUUCCUUGUUAUAUUCUCUAAUAGCUCCCUUUAAGCUAGGUGGUAUGAAGACGUUCUUCAUUUCCAGCUUGAAUAUAAGAUAAGUAUAUUAAUUUCUACAUAUCCCUUUGGUGAAAACAUCAAUAGGUUGCUUAGAGGAUAACAAGUAGUUGAUGGUCACAAGACCAAUUAAGACCUUUCACCUGAUUAAAUGACAGUUAAUGCCAAUAUGCUUGCUCCUUUUAUAAAAAACAAAAUUGAUAGCAAUCUGAAUAACAACUUUGAUAUCAUAAUGUAAAGAAACAGACAAUUUUAGAGUCACUUCUAAUGUGUUUAAGAGACCAAUAAUCCAAGUAAUUUCUGCCAGAGAACAAGCAAAGCUUCUAUACUCUACCUUAGCUAAAAUUUUAGAAAUUGUGGAUGACUUCAUAGACUUCCAUGAUAGUAAGGAGCUCUUAUAAUUUAUCAAUUAUACUGACUUUCUAGUAUUGAAACAUAAACGUCAAUCUAUAUCACAAUAAGCUUCCAAGAAAUCAGAAGACUUUGUUGCUAAUAGAAUUCCUAGCCCUGGUGAUUAUUGACAUACUUUACUAACCUAAUUGUUGUAUUCAUAUGAGAUGUUCUUGAGAUUUUGCAUAAAUUGAUUCAAACUCUUAACUGUAUAAUAAUGUAUGGUCUAGUGAGUGUGAGCUAUAGAAAUCUCCAAACCAACCUUUAGUACUCUCUAGCGUCCAACAACAAAGAGUCACAAGAGUCUCCAACUAAAGUAUCAAAGUUAGGGGUUGCGAGCUUUUGAUUCAGCUCUACUAGUGUAUCCUUUGGCUUAGAACGCUACAAACCUAAAACUAAGAUCAGCUCUAAAGUAUAUUUUCUUUGAGUGUAUUAGGUUUUCCUCUGAACUUUUGGCAAAUUAAAUUUUCUAGAAUAAUUUGAGAUCUCCUAAAUCUUUAAUCUUGAAGUUGUCCUUCCAAACCUACUUGGCUUACUAUAUUAGUUGAAUGUUACUUCCUAUUACAAGUAGAUCACAUGCAUAUAGACAUAUCUCCAUUGGACCAUCACCAUUAUUCUUAGUCAUGAUGUAGUUCAAAUGACUUUUCUUAGAUCACCAUGCAAGCAACACAUGGGUCAACUUGAUAUUUCAUUGUCUAGAAGCCAAGUUAAGUCCAUAUAUUGAUUUAAGCAGCCUGCACACUUUAGCUUCUCUUGUCUUGUUGUGUUGAAAACUUUAUAGUGAAUACAUGUAUUUUUUUCUAUUAAAAAUCCCUUGAAAAAGCAUUGUAAACAUUCAUUUGUCAAAAAUUAUAACCUUUUGUUGGAAUAAUAGGUAGCACUGUCUUUAUUGUCACCAUUUUAACUACUGGGGAGAAAGUAUCCUAAUAAUUUAGUCCCUACUUUUUGUUAUAGCCCUUGGCUAUUAACCCGACCUCAAAUAUUUUGACUUAUCCAUCAACUUUAUAUUUGAUCUUGUACACCAACUUACGCCUUAUAUGUUUCUUUUCUGGGCCUAAUACAACCAGUUUCUAUGUCUUCUUGUCCUUCAGUGCUUUGAUCUUUACUCUCAUAGACUGAACCCAUCUAGAAUCAUGUAUAGCUUGAUAGUAGGUAUUUAAUUUAGAUUAUAUUAAUGAAUUAGCUGUGAGAAACUAGUAACACUUUGAGAGAUAAAUAUAAUCAACACUAUCUGAGAUAAAAUAAAGGCAAUUGGAUUGCUUCACUCUUCUUAAUGAUAAACUCUUUCUGCUAGAGUGGUGCCUUUUUGUUCUUAUAGAUCAUUUUUUGAACAUUGUUAAGGUUUAUCAAAAUGAUUUAGUAAAUUUCUAUUCAUGACUGGUAUAUCAGAUGCAUUCUCUAAAGUACUGUUAUGGGAACAGGUUCAGGUGUUGUUCUAUCCUCGACAAUUAGAGUAUCAAGCUCCAUAUCUAGGUUUGAAUCCUCAGGAAAUAAAUUCCUAAUUCCUCUCAUGGGAUCAUCAUCUUUAUCCUGCAAAACACCUGAGUAAUUAGUCUAAAAAGGAAAAAUUAUUUCGGUAAAAAUCACAUCUCUAUUGAUAAAGAAUAUAUGAUGCUUAAGGUCAUAUAGUUUUUAUCCUUUUUGUAGUUUCAUGUCCCAUCAAAACUAACUUGAUUAUUCGUGGCCCAAAUUUGUCUUUCUUGUAGAGAAUUAUUGCAUAACAGAGGCAUUCUAUGAUCAUCAUAUAAGAUAAAUUCGUUUAUUUUCCAAACAUUAUCUUAAAGAAGUGAUAGAUUAUGUAAAAAAACAUAAAGAAAUUCUAUUGUUAAAAUGCACAAUUACAAAUAUAUGAUCUCUCUAAAACCUGAUUGGUAAGUGGCCUUGGAACAUAAUUGCUCUAGCUGUCUCUAAGAUGUGUCUAUGCUUCUUUCUAUAACACCAUUAUAUUGAGGUGUGUUUGGAAAAAAUCUUUUAUGUACUAUCCCAUGACUCUUGAACAACUCAUAACACUUGAAAUUCUAAAAUACUAUCCCCCAUUAUCUGAUCUGAAUGCCUUAGCUUGUAGCCCAAAUUGAGUUCUCAUCAUCAAAGUAAAUUAUUUCAGUAUAGUCGAAACAUCUAAUUUAAUAUAUAUCAAAAAUACUCAAGCCCUAGUAUAAUCAUCAAUCAGUGAAAAAAAAAAGAAUCAAUACAUCCCAAUGAACCAAAUCCAAACAAUUGGUACUUCUAAUAUUACUAGUUUGAAAAGAAAAUAUGAUCUUUCUUGCUAAUGGAUAUACAUAAUGAUGAGUCAAUGUAAAAUGAUUAUUGUUCUUAUGUAUACUAAUCUUUCUAAUCACACUCAUAGGUAUAUGUCUAGCCUCCUUUGACGCACACCAUCAUCAUCAUAUCCUUUAGUUGCUAUUAAUGACCUUGUUUUCUACACUUGAUGUUGCUUCUGCGUUCUCAAAAAAUAUAGUCAAUCUUCCUCUCUUUCAAUUUCAUGCACCCUAACAGUGAAGAGAUCCUGAAGAAGGAAGAAAUAAGGAAAGAAUAAAGCAUAAUAAUUCAAUUUCCUUGUCAGUUUUGAUACUGAUAAGAGAUUGAAUUUAAAAGUUGGCACAAAUAAUACAUCUUUAAUUCUAUAACCUUUUGUCAAAUAUGAAUAUCCAGACUGUGGAUGGUUGUUGAGCUACUUGUAGCUAAUUGAACUUUUCCAGGGUUAUUCACUGAUACAUGAUCCAAUAAGGAUUUAGUACCAACCACGUGGUUAGUUGCAUUACUGUCUAAGAUUUAAAUUGUACAAAUACUAUUUGCAAUAUUACAAAAAGAAGUACCUGUAAAUAUACUUGCUAUAUUUGAACCAGUCUCAUUAAUCUUGGGUUUGUUCAAUAUUUGCAAGAUUUGAUUGUACUUAUUUGCAAUGAAAUAUUGGAUAGAUCCAAUCCCACUACAAGUUUCAAGCUGUGAUUAGUAGCUAUACUGCAUUUUCAUUUAUCUAAAGUCUUGGCGUCUGCAUCUAUGGGGUUGGAUACAAGUUAAGAUCUCUCAUCCGUUCUAAUUGUGAUCCAUUAGCUCCCUGCUCCAUGUUGGCUCUCUUUUUUUUCCUUCCAAUCAAAAGGAUACCCAAUUAAUUGAAAACAAAUCUCUUUUGUAUGAUCCUGCAUGUUGUAGUAAGUACAAUGUUCUAAUUUGUUACAAUUUUCUCUGGUAUGGCCCUUCAUCCUAAAAUAGUCACAAUAAGGUCCCCUUUGUUUUCUCUACAAAUGUCCUUUGCCUCUACCUCUCCUAUCUCUGAAUCGUGAUCCACCAAAAACCUGAGCCACUAGGUAUAUUGGUAAGAAAUGUAGUGGGGUUAACACCCUCACAUAUACCAUGAUGUUCACCACUCAAUGCUCUCUGAAUUUUAUCCUGCACUAUCAUAGCAUAACAUUUAUUCACAGUAGAUGGUGAAUUCAUAAUAAGAAUUUGACUCCUAGCCUGCCCAUACUUGUCAUUCAAUUUCAUUAGAAAUUCUAGUUAUAUUUUCCUAAUCAUACUCUAAGUGAAUUCCUCCCAGAAAGACUAACGAGAGAAGAUAUGGGAAUCAGCCUGCACCUCCGCCUGUUCAGAAAGAUCCCCCGAAUGAGCAUGUCUCUCAUGUUGAGUUUAGAGCUCCAUUCACUACUCUAUCUCACUCUAUAUCAACUUAAAAUAAUCAGCAGGAUACUGUCCCAGCCAUUCAUGUGGUUAAUACCACCGCAACUAGGAUUUGGAACUUCACCCGAAUGAAUCCAUCUUUGAUUUCGGGAUACAAUUCUGAUGAGGAUCCGCAGGAGUUCCUUGACUUGGUUUAGAAGGUCAUAGACAUUAUGGGCAUGACUUCUAGUGAGAGUGCAGAGUUGGAUACUUAUCAGUUGUAGGAUGUAGCUCACACCUAGCAUAAGCAGUAGAAGGGGAAUAAAGGUGCAGAUAUAAGGUAGUAUGAGUGUUAAGGAUUAUCGCUUAAGUUUAGUCAGUUGGUAAGGUAUGAUCCUCAUGUGGUGUUUGAUAAUAGGUCUAGAAUGAGUAAUUUUGUGUCUGGUGUAUCAGAUUGUAUGGUCAAGAAGUGUAGGACCGCAAUGUUGAUUAAGGAGAUGGACUUAUCUAGGCUUAUGGUCCAUGCUAAGCAGAUUGAGGAGAAGAAGGUUAAGAAGAAAUAAAGAGAGAACAAAAGGGCUAGAAUAAGUAGUUUCAACUUUGCUCAGCUAAGGUCGGAGGGUGGUAAUCAUCCUCAGUUCUACCAAAAAUCAUUAGCUCCAGCUCUGUCUUCAGUUAGUGUGCCUGUACCAAAGUUUAGAAAUGAUAAUCAGGACAGGGCGCUAGGCUCUAAAUCCCAGGGCAACGUAAAUAGUGGUCGUACAAGUCCUCUUUGCCAAAAAUAUAGUAGAAGCCAUCUAGGUGUGGGUAGGGCUGGCGGUGAUGUAUGUUUUGGGUGUGGCAGUCCAGGCCACCGAAUUAGGAAAUGUCCCAAGGUGGGUCCACAAAGUCAUCACAAUCGUCCUUUAGCUCCAGCCAACCGCCCAACUCAGUAAGGUAACACGUCUAGUGCAACCAGUGGCCAGCACCCAAAUCGAUUGUAUGUACUUCAUUCCUGACAAGAUUAGGAAAGUUCUCCUAAUGUGGUUACGGGUACAUCACAGGUCUUUCAUUUAUAUGUUUAUGAUUUGUUAGAUCCUAGAGCUUUUUUUUUUUGACCCUUUAUAUAGCUGUUAACAUUGGAGUCAGCCCCAAAACCUUAGCAGAACCUUUCCCAGUAUCUACCCCAGUAGGUGUCUCAAUUGUGGCCAGGCAGGUAUACAGGAACUAUCCGAUUACAAUAUCCCAGAAAGUCACUUCAGUUGAUCUUGUAGAGUUGGAGAUUACUGAUUUUGAUGUCAUUCUUGGCAUGGAUUGGCUCCACUCAUGAUAUACUUCAGUUGACUAAAUAAAUAGAGUCAUUCAACUUUAUUUCCCAGAUGAACCAGUUAUUGAAUGGAAGGGUAGUUCUUCAAUACUUUGGGGUCAGUUUGUUUCGUACCUUAAAGCGAGAAAAAUGAUAUCCACAGGGUGUGUUUAUCAUCUUGUUCAAGUUAAAGACUCUAAUUCUGAGACUCACAAUCUCGAGUCAGUUUCAGUAGUGAGGGAAUUUCUAGAUGUGUUACCUGAAAAUCUUCUUAGAGUUUCUCCCGAAAGGGAAAUUGACUUCGGAAUAGACCUUCUUCCAAAUACCCAGCCUAUCUCUAUCCCUCCCUAUAGAAUGCCUCCAGUCGAGCUUAGGGAAUUGAAAGAACAGUUGAAAGAUCUCCGAGAUAAAGGAUUCAUCAGGUCUAGUGUUUCCCUAUGGGACGCUCCAGUCCUUUUUGUUCAAAAGAAAGAUGAUUCUCUCAGAAUGUGCAUUGAUUACCGUCAAUUGAAUGAAGUCACCAUCGAGAAUAAGUACCUACUCCCUAAAAUUAAUGACUUGUUUGAACAAUGUCAGGGUGAAAGUUACUUCUCUAAGAUAGACCUUAGAUCCGGCUAUCAUUAUCUCAGAGUUAGAGAGUGUGACAUUCCGAAAAUAGCUUUCAGAACCCGAUAUGGUCACUUUGAAUUUCUAGUCAUGUCCUUUGGAUUAACAAAUGCCCCAACAGCUUUCAUGGACAUGAUGAACCGAGUGUUCAACCAGUACUUAGACAUGUUCGUCAUAGUCUUCAUUGAUGACAUCCUUGUCUAUUCCCAUAGUGAAAACGAUCAUGCAGACCACCUCAGAAUUGUAUUGCAUACUCUUAAAGCCCAUCAUUUGUUCACCAAAUUCAGUAAUUACAAGUUUUGGCUAAGAUCAAUAGCUUUUCUUGGCCAUAUUAUUUUUAGUGAUGGCAUUAGAAUUGACCCUCAAAAGACCGAAGUAGUAAGAAACUAGCCCAGACCUAUCUCUUCAUCUUGUCUUAGGAGUUUCUUGGGUUUGGUCGGCUAUUACUGAUGGUUUAUUGAAGGGUUUUUGUCUAUUAUGUCCCCAUGUCUAGAUUGACCUAGAAGAAAGUCAAGUUUUAGUGGGCACAUUCUUGUGAGAAGAGUUUUCAGGAGUUGAUGAAUCGACUCAACUCAGCCCCAAUUUUGACAUUGUCGGAUGGUUUAGAAGGGUUUGUUAUUUACUUUGAUGCUUCCAGAGUUGGUCUUGUUAUGUGUUGAUACAAAGAGGUAAGGUCAUAGAUAUGCUUCUAGAUAGCUUAAGACCCAUGAAAAGAAUUAUCCUACCCAUGAUCUUGAGUUAGCAACUGUUGGGUUUGCCAUAAAAAUUUGGAGGUGCUAUCUCUAUGGGGUGCAUGUUGAUGUAUUCACGGAUCACAAAAGCUUUCAAUAUGUGUUUUUGCAGAAAGAUCUGAAUCUUCACUAGAGAAGGUGGUUGGAAUUGUUAAAAGACUAUGAUAUGAGUGUUUUGUAUCACUCGGCAAGGCUAAUGUAGUGGCAGAUGCCCUUAGUAGAUUGUCUAUGGGAAGUGUUGCUCUUGUUGAGGAUGAUAAGAAGAAGUUAGUCAAGGAGGUUCAUCAGCUUGCUAGACUAGGUGUUUGUUUAGUGGAUUCAGUUGAGGGUAGUGUAAGGGCUCAGAAUAGUUUGGAAUCUUCUUUGGUUGCCAAAGUGUAAGAAAAGCAAGAUAGGGAUUCCAGUCUAGUUAAGUUGAUGGAGUCAGUCAGAGAUCAGAAAGUAGAGGAUUUCUCCUAAGGGGGAGAUGGCGUAUUGCGAUUUCAGGGUAGGCUGUAUGUGUCAUGUGUAGAUGAUUUGAGGUAGAGAAUUCUUGCAGAAGCACAUGGUGCGCGUUACUCUAUUCACCCAGGGUCUACUAAGAUAUGCCGUAAUUUGCGGGUGAUCUAUUAGUGAAGUGCUAUAAAGAGGGAUAUUGGAGAGUUUAUAGCUAAGUGCUCUAAUUGUUAGCAGGUUAAGGUUGAGGACCAAAGUCCUAGUGGCACUAUGCAGGAGUUUAGCAUCCCCACUUGGAAGUGGGAAGAGGUGAACAUGGAUUUUAUGACAGGGUUUCCCCGUACACAUCAUUAGCAUGAUUCGAUAUGGGUUAUUAUAGACAGAAUGACUAAGUCAGCUUAUUUCUUGCCAGUUCAUAUUUUUAUUUAGUCGAGGACUAUGCCAAGCUUUAUAUCAAAGAGUUGGUUAGGUUUCAUGGAGUCUCGUUGUCUAUCACUCAGAUAUAGGUACUCAGUAUACCUCUCACUUUUGGAAGACAUUUUAGAAGGGUCUUGGUACCCAAGUUUAUCUCAGUAUAACCUUUCACCCUUAGAUAGAUGGCCAGCCAUAGAAGACCAUUCAUACCUUAGAUGACAUAUUGAGAGUGUGUGUUAUCGACUUUAAGGGUAUUGGGAUAAUCACUUACCUCUUAUUGAGUUUUUUUACAAUAACUGUUAUCAUUCCAGUAGUCAAAUGGCUCCGUUUAAGGCUCUCUAUAGUAGGAGAUGUAGAUCUCCCAUUGGUUAGUUUGAAGUGGAUGAGACUGCGUUGAUAGGGCCUGAUUCAGUGUUUGAUGAGUUAGAGAAAGUUCAGUUGAUCAAUGAGAGGCUUAAGACAGCGUAAAGCCAUCAAAAAUUCUAUGCAAAUGUGAGAAGAACAGAUCUUGAGUUUGAGGUUGGCGACUUAGUCUCUUUGUAAAUCUCUUCCAUAAAGGAAAUGAAGAGAUUUGGCAAGAAGGGGAACUCAGUCCCCGGUAUAUUGGCCUAUACAGGAUCUUGAGUCAUUAUGGGAAGGUAGUGUAUGAGCUUGAGUUGCCCACAGAUUUGGCAUCCGUUCACCCAGUAUUUUAGGUUUCUUUAUUAAAAAAGUGUAUUGGAGAUCAAGUUGUAGUUGUUCCUUUAGAAAGUACAAAUGUUCAGGAUAUCCUUUCUUCCGAAGAAAUUCCAGUCGAAAUUGAAGAUCGUCAGAUUCAUAGACUAAGGAACAAAGAAGUUCCUUUGGUCAAAGUUGUUUGGCAAAACCAGUCUGUUGAGGGAUCCAUUUGGGAAGUAGAAGCAGACAUGCGAAUCAAGUACCCUUAUCUCUUCUCCACAAACUUAGACUUAAAUUAAAGAAACAGUUUUCCUUAGAUUUUCUUUUUUUUCAAUUCUCAGUUCCAUCCAUGUAUUCAUCUUCAUGUCAUUGCAUACAUUCACGAAUCAGUUCAGUUAUAUAUCACGUUUCAGACUAAGUCAUGUAACCAUGUUUUUGGUUAUGCACAUUUAGCAUGUACUCUCUUUACCUCAAUAUUCUCAGCUUAAUUAGUCUCAUUCAAGGACAAAUGUUUCCAAGAGGGAGAUAUUGUAAGACCCUGUAAAAUCCUAGCUCAUUUCAGCUUACUAUUGCAUGUUAAAGGGGUCCAAGAUUUAUCAAUUUCACUAAGUGUUAAGUCUUAGUCUUCUCCAAAGACCGUAAACUUUGAUGAUUUUAGUUUCUAUCUUCCCAACCACGGAACGUUAGUUUCUAAGUUGAUUCAUGAUAGGGGUUGUUGAUAGUUCAUCUCAGGUGAGUUUUAAAUAUUUUGGAUGACGUUUGAGACCUAUUUGGAUGGCCGAAAUAGAGAGGCUCCACAAUAUGCUUGUGGCGUGUCGAAUGUCGCAUCGGUGGGGGAUCGCGGUGCACCACAUAUCACGUUAAUAGAGCACCGCAACAUGAGGUAUUUCUCAUCAACCAGUUCAGUUCAAUUUAAUGAGUUUCAGGUCUAGUAGGGUAUUUGAGUCAUUUUUCUAACUCUAAUCUAGUCAUAACAUGGGAUUUAGGGUCCCAAAUGCAUUAUUUGUCAUCUUUUACAUAAAAUUCUCUCAAAAUAAAUAAAUUCUCGCUAAAGAACAAACUCUAGCCUCUUCAAAAUUCAAGCUCAAGCUUCAAGAAAUCACCAAGAACUUUCACUAAUUCAUCAAUUAAGGUAUAUUGGAUGUUCAUUCAUGGGUACUUUUCACCCAUGGAGUCCAAGAACCCGUUUUCAAGAUUAAAGUUAUGAUUUUUACUUGUUAUUGUGAGUUAUCUUCAUGAAGCUAUUAUGAACUUGGAUUUCAAAUUAUAUUUAUUAUGUGGUUUUGUUGGAAUUAGCCUUGACAUAUUUGAAUGGUGCUUAUUCUCUUGUUAAAUCUUAAUCCAUGAUUUUAGUAUUGCAGGUAUGUUAUUAUUACAUGUUUAAACUAUUCCCAUGCUUAAUCCCAUGAAUUCCCGAUACACCCAAAUUAUAACUUUCUUAUAAAAGUGUAAGCGGUCGUUGUCAAAUAUAGAACCCAACUAGGGUUGGGGUCGAAUCCCACAGGGAAUACUCGUGCGACAAUGUAAGUUGAUUUUUAGUGGACUGCUGAUCUAAGGUUUCGAGAUAACGGGGUUUUUAAUAUGAUAGUACUAUUCUUUCACUCUUGUAUCUACACCGAGGUCCAGCUACUGAGAGUUAAUACAAAUAUAACUUUAAUGAGAGUAAGAUAACUAGGGUUAUGCUCACCAAGACGUUCAAGCAGUUAGGGUUGUGAAUCUAUGGUUAAUUUCUAACUUAUGAUUUCAAUUGCAAGAAGUAUUGAAUUCUAAGGAUUUACCCACUUGUUUCUCAACCUAAUGGGUAUUUUACCCUUUACUUCUUUCGAACUUAAAGGAUUCAUGCAUUAUUCAAUAAAAUUCUCAUGAGGGCUGAUCCUGCUAGGGCAUUAACCCCUAAUCCAAAAGGUAAAUAUAUGGAUUUCAUGUAAAUCAUCUCUUUUCCCAACAUCCACUUUCCUGUUCAGACAAGUGGUGUUCAUGGGUUCACUUCUCAAGUUUGCAACCAAGAGAUCUCAUUAUAAUGAAGAGAGGUUCAUACAAUUUAGACAAGUGUUAGAAAUCAGAUGAAUUCACAACCCCAAUCAACUCUCUACAUUAAGGCUCCCAUAACCCUAGUUAUGGAAGCUUAGCCACUCAUUUCCAUAUAAGAUAUCAAAAACAUUAAUAUUCUUAAAUAACUUCAAAGGAGUACUUACAAAAGUUACAAUAUUGUUCUCUCAAUCUUCAAUGGAAAAGUAUAAAAAUAAUAGUUAGAUCUCAAGUUUUCGCUUCUAAUCUCCAAGAAUAAUGUUACAAGGCUCUCAAUAGAGGAGAAAAGUAUGAUACUACAGUCAAAAGUCUCGAAAUAAAACCUAAUACUUAGUAUUUAUAUAAUUCCAGAACUGGAGUUUUAAAAUUCAAAUUUGAAAUUACCAUUUGGUGCAUGAAGGAUUGGGCUAUGGUUUGUCGUUGAGACGACGGUCCAUUGCCUGGACUGUUAUGAGACUUCCAGUGGCACAACAUUCUGUUUCUUGGCAAUGGUCUAGGUCGACGGUCCGUCGCAGUGGCGAUGGUCCAUCGCAUGGGCCAUCACGGGACUUUCAAUGGCAUAAAAUUCUAUUUCUUAGCGACGGUCUAGGCGACGGUCCAUCGCAGUGGCGACGGUCCAUCAUGGGAUUUUCUGUGGCAUAACACUCUAUUUAUUGGUGUAGGUAAAGGCCGAUGAUUCAUCUCAGGGUGGGCGGUCCGUCGCCUGGAUCGUCGCUUGUUAUUUUUCUGUUGCUUUGCCCAGUUUUUCCAAGUUAUUCUUCGCGUUCAGUUCUUGUCCUGAAAACACUAAAACCCAAUGUUAAAUACGACAAUAGUUGGUUGAAAAUACAGAAUUAUCCUACGAGAAAGGCUUAAAAUGUUCUGGCACCUGCUUGUCCUUAAGCAACUUAACACCAAGAUGAACAUAUGAACAACUUCAUGAUGGGCAAUUCACAGUCAAACCAACACAAUUAUAUAAUUAUUCAACUGCCCAUUCGGCUGUGUGAUCUCAAAACAUAUGGAUCUACUACUGGCAUUCACUAUUAUUCAGCAUAUUCACAGCCACAGAUACAAUACCUCAAAGAAAUAAGUAGAUCAGGUAUAACUCAAUAUGCCCUCACAGUCAAAGAAGUCCACCUCACAUUUUACAACCAAAUCAUGGACGAGACUAAGACUCUCACUCUCAGAAAAGAAGUUACAAACAUAGUGCACACCUAUAAGCUUGCCCUUAUCAUCUAAUGUUCUCUCAUUAUUGACUCACCGAGAUCAAGCAGGACAUGUUAAGGGUUGCAACAAGGUUUUUGGCUCUGUGAAGACUAAUCAUUUGGAUAAGUGACUUAAAGAAACUUUACUCUCUUUAACCUUAUUGGUGGCUACUCACCAAGAUCAAAGAUCUUUUCGCUCAUUCAUAACCUUUAUUAUCCAUCUGUGCCCUUGCCAUAACCUUUUUUUUUAUAGAACAGCAGCAUCAGCCACCCUUAACCUAAGAUGAUGCAAUCAGUUGAGGUACACAAUAUCUACUUAGACUUCUAACUAGACCAGGGUUAGAUGCUACUUCUUAAACCAACUUUAGCUCACCCUCCUAGGCUUCUAACAAUCCAACAGUAGAAACUCUCAACUUAGGCGACUUUCCUGAGUUGAAGUGCACAAUGUCCAAAAUUGGACCAGGGCCAAAGCUAAGUGCUAACACCUUCUAGAGAGUGAUUCAAACUUAUUUGGACAGAACGAACACUGAUAAGGCUCAACUGGGUUUACAAAGGAAUAAAAAAAUGUUUUUGGUGGGUCAUUAUUUUGGCUAAGUGGACUAACAAAACAAGGAGGCCUACUAGCCUAUCUUAUUGGGUCACAAACUUGACAACAUCCAAUGAACUGGGCAAGUUCCAGGUGUAACACUUAUGCAAGAACUGCGCAAAUACUUACACACACAGGCACUGAGUGAAUUCCUAUCCUACAACUCUUGGGAAUCAUAUCUCAUAGCUAUGCUUUGCCUCACUCUACAUUCUAAUGUUAAUUUUAGAGUCACAAAUGGUUGCACAACACUUUACCACAUGGUAAGAAGAAAUAAUUAUACAAAAAUUCAUAAUACUUUUCCAAGACUUUGCCACUAUCACUUAUCAUCCAUAUAUACAAAAUGAUGCUAAUAGAACAUAAAAUUACUUAUAUAAAUAAUCACUUCACGAUAUCUAUAGCACAUUACAUGGAAAUAAAAAUGCAAACUAAACAUGCCGGUUCUCCUAUAUAAACAUGAGGGAAAAGAACAUCGACAAAAAAACCCCAUGGUACAAGUAUCACCCCGCUUAAAAUAAUGCAAUGUCCUCAAUGCAUGCAAAGUAAGAACAAGGGAGGAAAAUACUUAUACAGCCUCUCAGUCAGAUGAGGCAUCAGUUAAAUGGUCUGAGGCUUUUCUGGAACAUUGAACCCUAUGGUGGUAGGGGUUAUCACAUCAAUAUCCUCCAGAAUUGGAGGGAUCUCAUGGUGAAUAGGGUUAGAAAUUGGCCUCCGAGCUGGGGCCGAACUGGUGGAGACACUAGUAGCUUCAUCCUGCAGUCUCUUUCUCUGAUUUUUCUCUGAUCUCUUCAAUCUCUUAAGUGCUUUUUGCACAUCAUAUUCCUCUCUCUCUUCUGGCGUCCUGGCUGCAAGUUUCCUUUUCAUGGCUACUUUCUCGGCGGCUUUUAUUGGUCUCCUCAUUAGGUCAACAAGACCAUCAUUCUCAUCACUUGCAAGCUGGGCUGGAUAAAAAAUGGACUGUUGUGGUUGCCGUUUCAGUUCUUCUAUAUCUGCCUGAGCCUGUCUAAACUGCACCAUGACCUUAGCAAAAUCCGAAAUGGGCAUGGCAUCUAGCUUCUUAUUGAUUCGCUCCUCCAUAUCAUCCAUUCUUAGCUAAAUGUUCCUAAACAGAUGUACUGCUGCCUCUACAAUUCUUUCAGGAAAGGGUUUAAAAUCUGCCCCCCAUAUAGCUAACUGCUUUAUAAACCUUUUCUGGGCUUGGACCGCCUUCGUAAAAUUCUUCUGGUUCAGCUUGUAUUGAGAAUAUUAGGGCAAGACUGAUGUAGAAUCUGCAGACCCACCCGUAGGCAUCGAAGCUGAACCUGCGGAUGUGGUAGAAGACACAUACAUAGUCAGAGGUAAUGGCAUACCUGAAGGAACCUCAGAUGUCACAGGAACUGGUGUUGGCUGAGUCUGAUGAGAUAGAGGUCUGUUGACUCUUAUAUCUAACCUUGCAACAUCCCUUGUCUUCUUAAUAUCUUGUUUAUGCAUUGCCCGGACCUCAUUAUCAAUUCCACUAAUUAAAGGGACAUUUGCCUGCCUGCACAACUCAGUGAUCAGACAUGGAAAUGGCAGUACAGUGGUAGUUUUGUGAGCAUGGGUAAACAAUUCAUCAGCAAUAAUGUGGCUGAAAUCGACAGUCAAUCCUUCAACCAAUGCAGUAAUAAUCACAGCUCUAUUGAUUUCUAAAUGGUCAUCUCCGCCUAUCGGCAUUAGCCUCAGCCUCACAAUUGCUCACCAGAACUUGGCCCUAAAGGUUAGGGACAACUUAGAUAUCCUUUCUCGUGGGUUGUGUAACCACCCAGGCUCACCCUCUUUUGUCAAUAUUCUGGCCAGCCAAGGCCUUUGGUUGCUCGCCGUGAACAGCUGAUGCUUUAAAUUUGGUAUUGCAUCUGGUAUCUGAUAUUUAGGCCCGAACAAGAACUUAUUCAGUGUACGCUCCGAGAUAUCUAUGUUGACUCCCCGCACAGGAAUUUUCUAGAUUGUUCAUGUCACUGACUAAUGGACAGUCUUUCUCCAGCAACGCCAAGUAGUUGGCAAAAAAUUCACGAACCAGAUUUGGUUGAUACGAUCUGAGUGGUCGACUCAUCCAUACCAACUCAUAUUCAUUGAAUCAGCGCUCAAGUUCUGUAUGCUCAUGUAGAGUUGUAGUCAUAAUAUGAUAUUUUUCAAAAAUAGGCCUCUUGACUUUGAACCUGUCAGUUUUCUCAAGCCCUUUGUAGAAGUGUUUUCGAGCUCCUUCAACUUGCCACCUGAUAGCUUUUCGCAGUUGUGGGUUUUUGCACUGAACCAAAUUUGGGUCCUUCUAUUCUGAAACCUCUACUUGGACAGGGUUAGAUGUUUCAACCCCUUCCUUACUCAGGCUCGAGGUCAAGCUACUUUUCUACUACUAUCACCCUCCUCUUCAGACUGGGAGGAUGAAGAAACCACCUGGCAUCUUUGUCAGGUGUUGUGAGCCGGUGCAUCCGAAUCCUGUGAUGGUUCUGGCUUGGACCUUUAGCCUUUACCCCUGCCUAUGGUUAGUGGUAAUUUUUUUUCCAUAUCAUCUGCAAAAAAGAUAUUUAUUAGUUUACAAACACAAACCAGAAGACAAAAGUUUUCAACCAGCGACGGGUUGAGCGAAGGUUCGUCGAGUCUGCAAUUGUCCGUCGACCCCAACCGUCAUGUCAAUUCUAGUAAAUUCAAGUCUGGGCACUCUGCAAUGGCUUAAGAAAAUGGGUCGUCGGGUGUCCGACGGUCCGUCACACAAGCCGUCACCUGCAAUUUUUAAAUUCAGACCUUAUUUUGUCAUUUCACCGAACACCUUGCGUACACUUUAUUUAAACACAAUUUUCAUGAAUAAUACAUCACUACUUUUUCCAUUUUUGGUCCAUGGGCUACUUAGACUUCACCCAGGACAGUGUUUAUCAGGUUUCAACUUAGUUUAGACCCACAAAGAUUCAAUCAAGUUUAAAGAGAAUUGUUUCAACACUAAGCCUUCACGUGCUUUAUUUGUUCUUAGUGUUGAAUAAAAUAGAAAGUAAUAAAGAGAUCAUACCUUAUUAUUGCAGUACUUGAUCACUAUUUUGACUUUCACACUAAACACAGGACACAAGAUGGAACUUUAAUUUUGUGAAGAACUUUUCUUUACUUGUGAUGGAGAAAGACAAAGAAAAGAUGAAGUUUAAAUAGAAGGGAAAGGGAAGAGGAGAAGUUUAAGAAGAGAAUGAAAAGGCUUAAAUACGUUGAAUGUAUGGGAACUAAAUAGUCUCAGGCACUUGAAUAGUUGGGGCGUUACUUAACCACUUUGAAUUAUCCCUUUAAAAACGUUUAGGUCGGAUAAGAAUGAAAUAUUCAACAAUUUAAUUUGAUCCAACCUGACUCGUUAAACUAGGGUUAAGUGCGACGGUUCAAGCAACGGUUCAUCGUAUGUGCGACGGUACAUCGGGUGACCAAUCGAUCUUUUUCCAGUGACUUACCUUGUGACUCAUUGGCGAUGGUUGGGCCCACGAUCCAUCGUACUUGCGAUGGUCCGUCAGCUGACCCAUUACUAUUUUUCUAGCAACCUAAUUUCUAGCCUUUGUUACGAUAAUUCUUGUGACGGUCCAUCGAGUCAGGAAUGGUCCAUUUGGUAAUUCAUCAGUCACCUCAACCUCUUUCAACUUCUGUUUUCCCACACUGUCAGACCUGCAAACUUACACAAACCCUUCAGCUUAAACAAAACAAGAAAAUAACUUAAACUAAUGCUUUAUACAACAGACUGUGGGUUGCCUCCCACUAGCACCUAAUUUAUUAUCGUGGCAUGACUCAGUUAUCUCAAUUACUCAGACUUCAUCGAGAUUGAUUAUAGCAAUGCUCUUUAUUGAGCCCAUUGGACCGAUAUACAGUUUCACACAUUGCCUAUUAACCUUGAAGACACUUUCAUCUCCAUUUUCGAGCUCCACUACUCCCGAUGAGUAGACUUGGUUAACUCUAAAUGGCCAGACUAUUUGGAUUUGAGCUUACCUGGAAAAAGCAUGAGUCGGAUGUUGAAGAAGAGCACCAAGUCACCUUUCUGAAAAUCACGCUUUUCAAUUUUGUAGUCAUGGUACUUGUUCAUUUUUUCCUUGUACAAGUCAGCUUUUUCAUAAGCUUCGAGACAAAACUCAUCCAUCUUAUUCAGCUUUCCCAGUCUCAUAUCCGCAGCCUUAUUCCAGUUUAGAUUAAGCCACUUCAGUGCCCACAAUGCUUUAUGCUCUAGCUCAAUUGAUAAAUAACACGCCUUGCCAUAAACCAUUGGUAUGGUGACAUGCCAAUCAGUGUCUUAAAAGCUAUUCUAUAUGCCCAUAAGGCAUCGUCCAGCUUCCUAGACCAAUAUUUCCUUCUAGCAUUUACAGUCUUGGCAAGGAAAACUUUGAUUUUCUGAUUAGAGAUUUCCACCUGUCCACUAGUCUGUGGGUGGUAUGGGGUAGCCACCAUGCUGCUUGACUCCAUAUUUUGCCAAAGCAGCUCUGAACAUCUUGUUGCAAAAGUGUUAUCCUCCAUCGCUUAUGAUGGUACGUGGUACCCCAAAGCGAGAGAAGAUAUUUCUCUUCAAGAAUGCAACAACCCACUUUCCUUCAUUAUCCGCCAGAGCCACUACCUCGACCUAUUUUGAAACGUAGUCAACAGUAACUAAUAUGUACUUUAUCCUAAAUGAGCUCAUGAAGGGCCCCAUGAAAUCAAUGCCCCAGACAUCAAAUAAUUCUACCUCCAGCAUUUUAGACAUUGGCAUCUUAUGGUGCUUUGAGAUGGACCCUUGCCUUUGACAUUGGUCACAUCUCUUCACGAAAUCAUAGGCAUCUUUGAACAAGGAGGGCCAAUAGUAGCCACUUUGAAGUACUUUUCUUGCAGUCCUAUCACCUUCAUGGUGACCUCCAACUGAGGAAGCAUGACUCGCUUCCAGUAUACUCAACAUAUCUAUUUCUGGGAUGCACCACCUAAUAAUGCCAUCCACACACCGCCGAAAGAUACGGCUCAUCCAAGAAAUAAUGUGUCACAUUGUGGAGAAAUUUUUUCUUUUGAUGAAAGGAAAGAUUCUUCAGCAUCACUUCACUUACCACAUAGUUCGCGAAGUCAGUAUACCAAGGUACUUUUUCAAGCACUGUAGCCAAUAUUUUUUUAUCUGAAAAGGAAUCAUUAAUAUCUAGCUCAUCCUUAACUGCUUUUUCGCCUUUAAGUCUAGAUAGAUGGUCUGCAACCUAAUUCUCACAUCCCUUUCGAUCCUUCACUUCGAAGUCAAAUUCUUGAAGUAGCAAUACCUACCGGAUCAACCUUGUCUUAGCAUCUUUCUUCGCCAUUAAGUACCUCAAGGAAGAGUGGUCAGUGUGCACCACUACCUUGGUACCCAACAGAUAUGCCCAAAACUUCUCAAUACAUACACAACUGCUAGAAGUUCCUGCUCAGUCACGGUAUAAUUCUUUUUGUCUUUAUUCAAGGCCUUGCUUGCAUAAUAUCUCUUUCUUUUAUCCAAGAACGGCUCCAAGUGCCACUCCACUGGUAUCACACAUAACCUCAAAUAGCUCCAUCCAGUCAGGAGCAACAAUAAUUGGAGCCUCCACUAGUUUCAGCUUAAGUCAAUCAAAAGACUUUCUGCAGUCAUCAUCAAAAGUGAACUUAGCCUCCUUCUCCAGAAGUUUACAAAGCGGGUUUGCAAUCUUUGAGAAGUCUUUUAUGAACCUGCGGUAGAACCCUGCAUGACCAAGAAAGCUACGUACCCCUUUGACUGAGAUAGGGGGAGGUAGUUUCUCAGUCACUUCAACCUUUGCCUUAUCUACCUCAAUACAUUUAGUUGAAAUUUUGUGACUGAGAAUAAUCCCUUCCUUCACUAUGAAGUGGCAGCUUUACUAGUUAAGGACAAGGAUGAACUCUUCACACCGCUGCAACGCCCGACUAAGAUUCAGCAAGCAGAGCUCAAAAGAAUCACUGAAAAUCGAGAAAUCAUCCAUAAACACCUCCAAGGUGUCUUCAGCCAUAGCAGAAAAAAUUGACAUCAUGCACCGCUGAAAAGUGGCGGGUGCAUUACACAACCCGAAAGGCAUCCGCUUAAAAAUAAACGUACCAUAUGGGCACGUGAAUGUCGUCUUUUCCUAAUCUUCAGGAGUAAUAGAAAUUUGGUUGUAACCAGAAUACCCAUCUAAGAAACAGUACCAACACCUUCCCGCUAGCCGAUCAAGAAUCUAAUCCAUGAAAGGCAUUGGGAAGUGGUCCACGAGUUGAGUUUUCUAUAAUUUAUACACAUCCUCCACCCAGUAACAGGCCUGAGUGGGAUCAACUCAUUCUUCUUGUUAGCCACAACUGUCAUGCCCCAUUUCUUGGGUACGCACUGAACAGAACUCACCCACUUACUAUCUGAAAUGGGAUAUAGUACUCCUGCGUCUAGCCACUUGAUGAUUUCUUUCUUUACCACCUCUUGCAUAGGUGGGUUUAGCCGACGCUGAUGCUCAAUGGUCGGAACACAAUUCUCAUCUAGCUAAAUCUUAUGUGUAAAUAUACCAGGAGGGAUACGAAUGAUGUCUGCAAUCGUCUAACCAAUAGCCCUCUUAUAUAUCUUAAGAACAGAGAUGAGAGCUUCCACCUAUUACUCACCUAGAUCAGCCGCAAUAAUCAUAGGUAGUGUAUUCCCACUGCCUAGGAACACAUACCUUAAAUGACCGGGUAACUCCUUCAGCUCCAAAGUAGGUAGCUCUUCUAUAGAAGGCUUAGCAGGUGGACUUGGAUGAUUUUUCAAGUCCAAAUCCAACUUCUUAGGUGCAUAUGAAUAAGACCCCAUGCCUGUUAAUACAUACACCAUCUCCUCAUAAACUUCAAUAUCGUCAUGAUCAAAAUUCAUCAAUACAACAGCUAAAGUCUCCACAACAAAUUUUUAUUCUAUAGGCACUUCCUGCUUCUCCUCAUAAUAAACAUCCACAAUAGAAAAUACGCUCAUAUCUUUAUGUUGUUUCAUGGACUUGGCAUACAUUGAAUCAAACUACUUCAUCAUUUAACCUGAAUAGUAGCUCAUUUGCCCUCAAAUCAAUAAUUACACUCCCGCUUGUGAGGAAAGGUCGACCCAAGAUUAUAGGAACCUUGAAAUCCACCUCACAAUUGAGAAUGACAAAAUCAGUCAGAAAUAUGAAACUGGCCACCUUAACUAAUACGUCAUAUAGAAUCCCCAUGAGCUGCUUCACAGACUUGUCUGCCAUAACUAAUCUCAAAUUUAUGGGAGUAGGAUCCCCCAAACCCAAUUUCUUAUAUACAGCAACCGGCAUCAAGUUUAUACUAGCUCCCAAAUCAGAUAGAGCUUUUGCAAAAUCAAGAGGCCAAAUAGUGCACGAGAUGGUAAAUGCUCCCAGGUCUGCCUUAUUCUGCACCAAUGACCUUGUGGAAAUCGCACCACAAUAAUGGAGAUUAUCCACCUGUUCAAAACUAACCGUCUGCUUCUUCAUAACAAGGUCUUUCAUGAACUUUGCAUACCCAGGCAUUUGCUCCAAUGCCUUCACCAAUGGCAAAUUAAUUGUCAACUGCUUAAGCAUGGCCAUAAACUUUCUAAACUUUGUAUCAUCGACCUUCUUUUCAACUGAUGGGGAAAUGGAGAAGGUAGUUUUGGGAGCAUAGUAACUACCACUUCAGCCUUCUUUCCCUUGCUUUUCUGUAACUCAUCAACCUGCUGAUGGUUGGCUGAUGUAUCAUCAAUAACCUCAUCCAGUUUCUCAAACACCACCGGAUGAUCAAUCUCCACUUCAUCUACAUCAUCUACCACAAUAUCAACCACAGACUUGCCCACAGGAGGGCUUACAAAUACCUUUCACUCCUAAUGGUAACUGCCAUACAUGAACUAUCCUUCCUCUGGUUCUGAACUGUGUUUCUUGGUAAGGUGCCACUCUUCCUCUGAUUUAAUGUGGCAAACAGUUGGUUCAUCUGCUACUCCAACUAUUUUAUCAAAGUAGAGUGCAAAAUCAACUAGCUGAUUCAUCGAGGACAAAUCACUUUUCAUCUCAUCCACCCCAGUAUUUAUUGCUUCCACUCCCUUCAACAACUUAGCCAUUAUGUCCUCCAUGGACAUCUUUCUUGAACUAGUCGUAAUAGCCAGUUUCCCAUAGGAACAUACAACCCACUCCUGUCAUUUUUACAACCCACUCCUAUUAUUUUUAUUUUUCCAAUUCCUUUUAUCGCGGUCUUUAUAGCCAGAUUUAUCAUAAUAGUUCCAACCUUGGUUUCCUUGCCAACCACCUUAGAAACCCCCCUGAUUGUUCAAAUAACUAGCUUCCCCCUCAGAAUUAGAUUUAGCCCUUCCCUAUGAUUCCAUAUCUUUAACCUUCUCCGUCUUUCCGAAUAAUAAGUGCUUAGUGAGAAAAACCAUCUGCGUCUUCAUGUGUGCCAUGUCUUGGUCACGUUCUUCUUUCCUUCACCUAUGCUCUGUAGUCAUUCUAAUAGAUACAGUAGAGUUUGCGACCUUAGAAUCACUGGUAUGCCAAGCUCUACUUUUCUUUGUCAUACGAUCAAGCAUCUCAGUUGCUUUAGGAAAAGUGAGGUCCAUGAAUGACCCCCCACGACAUUAUCCAUUACUGGCUUUGUCAUAGAGUUCAAGGCCCGAUAUAAGAUCUCCAUCAAGUGUACAUUGGUCAUCUGAUGAUUUGGACACCGCAUAAGCUUCUUCUUGAAUCUCUCCCAAGUCUUGUGGAGAGCUUCAGUUGGAAGCUAUCUCAAGUUACCGAUUUUAUCUCUUAAUUGUGCCCUCUUGGAUGGCGAAAAGAACCUUUCUAGGAAAUCAUCUUUCAGUUUCCUCCAAUUGCUAAUAGAGUCGGGAGUUAGCCCAUUCAACCGUAAAUUUGCCUCCCCAAACAGAGACAACGGAAACAACCGCAACCAAAUAGAAUUUUGCCUAACUUCUGGGUGGUCAAAUGAUUUGAAUAUCGAGAUAAAGUUGACCAAAUGCAUAUUCAGGUCAUCACCCCUAAGUCCACCGAACAACCCUUUGAGGUGCAACAACUGGAUCAUAGUACUUGUAAUAUUAAACUUAGAUCCGGGUGCUAAGGGCGGAGGAAUAAUAGCCCCUGUUGCACCUGCUCCAUCUAAGUCAUCAUCAUCAUCCACAAGAUUAAAUUGGAUGGCCUGGCACUCUGGUCUCGCCUUAGCAGGGUGAUUUCUAUUGGCAUUCCUAUUCGCCGGUGCAGCCACAUUAUUUGUAUGCCUCUGGUUGACCGGAUUUAAUAAAUUAUCAUCACCCAGAUCAUCAUCAUCUAGGUUUGUNNNNNNNNNNNNNNNNNNNNNNNNNNNNNNNNNNNNNNNNNNNNNNNNNNNNNNNNNCUUUUUCCUACUGAGCAACUACCCUCUCUGGGUCUUGUUGACCAUCCAUUCGGCCAAUAAGUUGAGGUUUCAGAUGAAUAGGUACUAAAGGUUCACCUGAUCACCAUGUACUUGGUAUACAAAACAAUCAACCUGUGAAAAACAAAAACAACAGACAAAAACUAAAAUUUGGGAAACUUUGACCAAAGGUCAAUUGACAAUCCCAUAAUUGAUUACCGUAUUCCCCAACAACGGCGUCAAAAUUUGAUACACCCAAAUUACAAUUUUCUUACGAAAGUGUAAGUAGUCAUUAUCAAAUAUAGAACCUAACGAAGGUUGGGGUGGAAUCCUACAAGGAGUACUCGUGCAACUAAGUUGAUUUUUAAUGGACUGUUGAUCUAAGGUUCCGAGAUAAAGGGGGCUUUAAUGUGAUAGUACUAUUCUUUCACUCUUGUAUCUACACCAAGGUCCAACUACUGAGAGUUAAUGCAAAUAAAACUUUAAUGAGAGUAAGAUAGCUAGGGUUAUACUCACCAAGACGUUCAAGCAGUUAGGGUUGUGAAUCUAUGGUUAAUUUCUAACUUAUGAUUUCAAUUGCAAGAAGUAUUGAAUUCUAAGGAUUUACCCGCUUGUUUCUCAACCUAAUGGGUAUUUUACCCUUUACUUCUUUCGAACUUAAAGGAUUCAUGCAUUAUUCAAUAAAAUUCUCAUGAGGGCUAAUCCCACUAGGGCAUUAACCCUUAACCCAAAGGGUAAAUAUAUGGAUUUCAUAUAAAUCAUCUCUUUUCCCAACAUCUACUUUCCUAUUCAGACAAGUGGUGUUCAUGGGCUCACUUCUCAAGUUUGCAACCAAGAGAUGUCAUUAUAAUGAAGAGAGGUUCAUACAAUUUAGACAAGUGUUAGAAAUCAGAUGAAUUCACAACCCCAAUCAACUCUCUACAUUAAGGCUCCCAUAACCCUAGUUAUGGAAGCUUAGCCACUCAUUUCCAUAUAAGAUAUCAAAAACAUUAAUAUUCUUAAAUAACUUCAAAGGAGUACUUACAAAAGUUACAAUAUUGUUCUCUCAAUCUUCAAUGGAAAAGUAUAAAAAUAAUAGUUAGAUCUCAAGUUUUCGCUUCUAAUCUCCAAGAAUAAUGUUACAAGGCUCUCAAUAGAGGAGAAAAGUAUGAUACUACAGUCAAAAGUCUCGAAAUAAAACCUAAUACUUAGUAUUUAUAUAAUUCCAGAACUGGAGUUUUAAAAUUCAAAUUUGAAAUUACCAUUUGGUGCAUGAAGGAUCGGGCGACGGUUCAUCAUUGUGGUGAUGAUCCAUCGCCUGGACCAUCACGAGACUUCCAGUAGCACAACAUUCUAUUUCUUAGUGAUGGCCUAAGCCGACAUUCCAUCACAGUGGCGACGGUCCAUCGUAUGGGCCAUCGCAGGACUUCCAGUGGCAUAACAUUUUGUUUCUUAGUGAUGGUCUAGGCCGCCGGUCUAUCACAGUGGAGGCGGUCCAUCGUAUGGUCCAUCACGGCACUUCCAGUGGCAUAACAUUCUAUUUCUUGGUGAUGGUUUAGUCCGAUGGUUCAUCGCAAGGUCGAUGGUCCGUCGCCUGAACCGUCGUUUGUUAUUUUUCUGUUGCUUUGCCCAGUUUUUCCAAGUUAUUCUUCGCGUCCAGUUCUUGUCCUGAAAACACUAAAACCCAAUGUUAAAUACGAUGAUAUUUGCUUGAAAACACACAAUUAUCCAAAGAGAAAGGCUUAAAAUAUUUCGUCAAAAGUUGAAACAUCAAUUUCAAGUGUUUGAUAAAAUACCUAAAUGAUUGAGUUUGAAAAAUGACUGCUUAUUAUGGUUUUUGAAGGUUUAGUAUGUCCUAUUGUUAUUGAUGCUUGGAGGUUAUGAAUACCCGAAAUUUAGCUAUUUACCUAGUUUUCAGUAUCUACAUAAUUAUUUUAGUCAUACCAUGAGCAAUAUUAUUUAGGCAAUUAAUAUGAUCAAUUUGGGUUUAGUUAAUCUUAGUCCAGUGUAGUGAUCAGUGUCAGUUCAGUUGGGAGUAGGAUUCAGUACCGAGCGAACCCAGGGAUGGGGGCAUUCCUUCCAGUUUAGGCUGUGACCCUUAGUAGCAAUCCCUAAGUUAUAGAACUACAUAGCCAGCGUAGGUUGAGAUAUCGUCCUUCUAAUUUAGGGUUGAAACAAAUCUCAUGAGUACUUCCAGAUUAGGGUGACUUUUUAGUCCUUCAGAACACCAAUUUAGUGGACGACACAACCAUUGUCAGUACCCAUGGCACGGUACUGACACCCUUCUAACUAGGGUACAGGUUGGACCCCAUUUAGCUCAGAUUGGGGCAUGUCGGUUAGAUGAUAUCUCCCACAGACUCCGUACAGUAUUCACUAUGAUUCAUUUUAGGUUUCCAUUGACCGUAGCAUAUAGGUAUUAGUUAUUCAGUUAUCAGGUUUCAGCAGUUUCAGUUUACAGACUAUUUUAGACUCAUGUUUUAUGUUUGGUCAUGCGUUCUCUGAUUUUACAGUAUUCACGCAUUCAUAUUAGUUAUUCAAUUACCUCAUGCUAUUCAUUUAAUUAGUUAUUACGCAUGCACGUAACCCAUGCAUAUCAGCCUAACCUUAUUUAUCUUACCAGUAAAUUCAAAUUACUGACCACAUACUCAUUUUUCGCGCUAUGAUGUCUUAUACAAGAGGUUCGGAUGCUCAAGUUCCCAACCGUACUUAGACCUCCCAGUGCAACAACAACAGUAGUUGUGGUGAGUCAUCAUAUAUCGAGGACUAUUUAUGUUUAUUUAAGUCUUUCAGCUCAGUAGUUAGUCAGAGUUAGUUGGGGGCUUGUCCCAUCAACUCCCCAUUCAGUUAGAGACUUUCAGACAGUCAAUUAGACUAUCAAAUUUUAUCAGUUUUUAGACAGUUGCUUUCACUCUUAUGAUUUAAUAUUGUUUUCAUUGUCUAAAAUCUUAUGGCAUUUUUCAGUUAAAUUCCACACAUGUUUAUUUAUUAUCAGUUUUAUUUAGUGCUCAUAGUAAGUACCAGCUCAUGGGUUAGCGUGUGGUCUCUCGGGAUCAUAAGCACUGUGUGGCAUCCAGGGUGUAUUCUCGGGGCGUUACAGAGUAUCUCAGGGAUUACAAUCUAUUAAUACAGAUCUUGAUGUUGAUAUCUUUAUAAAGGUAAAGUCAAUACAUAGAAAAAUUCAGCAUCAAUAGACUUCUAAAUUUGGAUGCAUGCAUCAAGCAAAUCGAGAAAAGUUAUGCAGGUCAAUAUAUCUAAUUUUUUUGUGAACUUUCUGUGAAAUAUGAUAUAUUUUUAAAUUUUUUUCGAUCCUUCUAAAUUACUUGUUUUCAAUUUAUCGCAUGUUAGAGGGAGCUAAGUCUACUGAUUUUUAUUUGUUUUUUGUAUCUAGUGAAAAGUAUAUUAAAGAAGUCUUAAAUGGUAAGUGGGUACCUGAAUUUUCUGGUUCAUCAAAAUUGUUGAGUCCAGCAUCUAAAUUUGUUGUAAUUGCAGCAAUAUAUUUGUUAUACAUCCAAAUGAUUUUAUUAACUUUGGCUUGAUCUAUGUAGGAGAAAUAAUAAAUAAUUUAUUCAAGUGAUAAAAAAUAGUUUAAAAAAUUAUGUAUCAAUUAAUUUAAUAGUUGCCUUGUGCCAUGUGCUUAAUGAAUAAUAACCUGUAAUAUAGAAUAAGCGAUUAAAAUAUAUUAUAAGUAAGUGAAAAUAAAUAUUAUAUAACUAGAUGAAGUUAUAGGUGGAUCUAUAUUAUUUGCUAUGCUAUCAAAAUUUUCUUAGUGUUUAGAAUAUGAAAAAUCUAAAGAAUGAAUAAGCAUCUAGACUUAGACUAUCCAUUAUUAAACUUAACAAUCAUUGACUAUCUAGACUCAAAAAUAUGGAGGUUUUACUUCCUAGAGAACAAAACACUACUAAUUUUUUUCCACUUUGAUUCUUUUAUAAGAUAAUGUGUCAUCAACGUCUUCAUUUUUUCUAUCUCCUUGACUGAAUUUUUUGAGUUGACUUCUUCAUCUACUAUAUCAAUCAUAAUAAUCUUUUUAACUUCUGGACUUCUUCUGCAAUGAAAUAUUUGCCAACUCAAUCUCCUUCACUUUUUACAGCAAUUUUGAUAAAAAAUGUGCGUGUUUUUUCCAUACUUAGCAUCAAGGUAUGAUAAAAUGAUGAUUCCUCUUUUUGAAUCAUUGAAAAGGAUAUAUUAGUUAGCAAAGGAUGAUCUAUUGAAUUCAAAAUAAAAAAGAUAGUUUUAAUACUUCAUAAGUGUUAAAGGACAAUUUAAUAUGACCUUUUCCAAAGUUGAUUGUCUAUACGUUGUAACAUCGCAAUCAAUCAAUUAUUUUUCAAUCUCAAACAAUGUAAUAGAACAACAUUCAUUCCCAGCUAAGGCAUCAAAUUUUAGAAGAAAUCUGCCAAGUCAUCGAAAAAUAGAUAUUCAUAUCAUUUUUAGAAUUUGUCUAAAAAGUAUUUUGAUAGUUGUUAUGUGUGUUACCUGUCCUUGUAAGUAAUUUUUCCAGUGGAACAACGACGAUAUUUUACAAUAUAAUCAUUAAUUUUAAAUUUUUUAGAGCAGUUGGUGCAAGCAUCAUGGUAGGGGUCAUCAUCAUUCGCUAUAGCUAUGAUAGUUGCAGUAAAUUUUUCAUAUUUAACCUACAAAAAAAAGAAAGAAAAGUUAGGUGUCAUAUUAAGGUAACAACUAAACCUUUUCUUGUCGUAGCUGAAAAUAGUACCUCUUUAUCACAGGACAAACAAUUUGCAAUUUCACCAAUUGUCAUUUCUUUGUCCCUUUUAAUUUGUUUACUUGACAGUAGAGUAAUAUCUUUGUGAGUUUUCUUCUGGGAGAUAGACCUGUGCGUUUGUUAGUUAGUAUAUUAUAAUAACAAUAGUUUACUAUCAAUUGUUUGCAUGAAUAUGAAAAUACAUAUUACCAUUGUUGGAGAGAUGUUUCUUUUUCAAAUGUGGGGUCUAACCACAUACUACUGAUAUAGGUAAAAGAUAGCUCAAAAUUUUCUGCAAUGUAAAACGUCAGACACAAGAAAAAGACAUAGAAUUUACUGUAAACACCAUAACUACUAGGAUAGUACCUUGUAAUGUAGUUCUUACAUCACAAAAUAAUACGAUCAAAUUUUCUGUAGAUCACUUUUCUAGCAGUGAAUCCUCUAUAUCUGAGAAUUUAUCUCAUAAUGUGAUAGUUUUUCGAUCACACCUUUAUUUUUAAAUUAUAAAAAUAAGAUUAAAUUAUUAAAUUAAUAAUAUAUUUCAUGUCUUAAAUAAAUACUUCCCCUUCAUGAAUUUUUUUUAGAAAAACUAAGUUAAACCAACUCCUUAUUCAUAAGUAUCAUCUUUCUUCAAACUGUGCCUUUUGUGAAGAUUUUAGAACUUACGAAGAUGCCAAAUAUAUCUUCAAAGAGUAAUAUUGAAUUUACAGGAAAUAUUAUUAGUUUAUGAAAGCUAAAGAAAUUACCUAAUAUUAUUUCUUUGGUAUGUAUUCUUUCAUCAUUGAAUGAACUAAAAUUUUUCGAAAAAGAAAGUGUAGAAAAAGUACUGAAAUUCUUGAACUAUAGUGGGUUUUAAGAAUUCAAGUUCAAUCUCCUUAUUAACUGAUCAAAAAUUAGGAUUGACUCUAUUAAUGAGAUCAUUUAUGAUAUAUCUAAUUUUGGAUUGCUGCAAUGAAUGUCUAAGUGUUUCAAUAUCUUCAUUGAAAAGUAUACCAUUAAUUUUUAUACCCUAAGAAAAAAAGUAUAAUUUAAUGACUAAAGCAUACACAAAAAAUUAUAAAACAUGAAAGGUACUAAAGAAUAACAAUUUUAUAAUUUGAUGACAAUACUUUUUAUUCAUACUUACAAUUCUCUUACGAUUACCUAUAUGCAUAUAUCACUAUCGCAACAAAGAAGCAAAUAUGAAAAAUUAUAAAAUAUGAAAGGUACUAAAGUUGCAUAUUAUCCAUAGAGAGUGAAUAGAGCUAGAGAUGGAACCUCUUGGUAUAUAGGUUCCAGGUUUUUAAUGAUUUUUGGGUUCAUGUACAAACUAACGAACCCAUACUGACUGAACAAUGUAAGAAAUUUUUUCUUUUGCCAACUUUUAAAAUAAAUUUUAGCCUUACAACUCUCUUACGAUAACCUAUAUGUAGAUAUCAUUAUUGCAAUGGAGCAGUAAAUAUGAAAAAUUCUAAAACAUGAAAGGUACUAAAGUUACAUAUUAUCUACAGAUUGAGAAUAGAGCUAGAGAUAGAAUCUCUUGGUGCAUGAGUUCUCAGGUUUUUAAUAUUUUUUAGGUUCAUGCACAAAUUAACGCACUCAUGCAGACAGAACAAUUUCAAAGUAAGAAAUUUUUCCUUUUGUCAACUUUUGAAACAAAUUUUAGCUUUAUAACUCUCUUACGAUUACCUAUAUGCCGAUAUUAUUGUUACAACUAAUAAGUAAAUAUGAAAAAUUAUAAAACAUGAAAGGUGCUAAAGUUGCGUAUUAUUAGUAACUCUCAUGUUAUCGUAUUCUUUGAUUUUACUAUCGUUCAUUUUUUUAUUUACUUUGUAUAGCAUACUAUUUUUAGUUGUUAUUGUUCUUUUCUGCCUUAUUUUCUAGGAUCUAUGAAUACAGCUUAAUAUUACCUCCUUGUCAACUAAUAUCAUCAUUUUUCAGAAGCUACCUCCAUUCUUAAAUGCUUUCGUUGGCCCGCUUUCGAUGACCAAGACUUUGAUCAUCCAUAUACACUCGUUUGGCUUCAAGGUGUUGAUUUCCAUAACUUUGGUGGUAGAAUCCAUCAUAAGAUAAUAUUUAAGAAAUCAUUCGUGAAAGUUAAAAUGAUAAAAACGUAUAAUUUUAUAACAGAGUUAAAUUUGUGAGAUAAAAAGAAUUAUACCUGAAUAUGUGAAUCUUGUUGGUAGGUGAAUAGAUGAAGAAGGUUAGUUAUGAGCAAUAAAAAUUUAAACCUAUUCAACUAACAGGACAUAUUAAGGUAAUAAUAAUAAUACCAUUCAUGAAAGUUAGAACGAUAAUAACAUAUAAUUUCAUAACACAGGUAAAAUUUAUGAGAUGAAAAAAAUUAUACUUGAAUAUGUGAUCUUGUUGGUAGGUGAAUAGAUGAAUAAGGUUAAUUAUAAGCAAUAGAAAUUAAAACAUAUUCAACUAACAGGACACAUGAAGGUAAUAACAGGAUUGACUGAAAGUUAAAUAGAUUAAUGAACCAUAGACUAAUGAACACUUCAAAUUAAUGCACACCUCAAGCUAAUUUAAACUAAGUAAUUUAAGAUGCAAAAGAAAGUAAUAUUGUCUUCAAAUUAAUUUAAGCUGGGAUAGCAAGUAAUAUUGUCUUUAAAUUAAUAGAAAAAAAUGAGAGACGUCGUGACAACAAAAACUUGAAAAUAAAAUUGCUGAAGCAGUUGCUGAGAUGGAAACAAUGAAAAACGAUAAAUAAUUGAAAAUCAUGUGUUUAAAUAGAAGAAAAGAAUGUACAAAUCAAAUAGGAGAAGAAAUAAUAUUUGUCACAAAAAGUUGGCAAAGACGACAGUUUUUUGUGAAAAAACUUAAGAGAAGUCUACAUCUUUUGGAGAAACAAAUCAAGUAGGACACAAAUUUAGAAAAGAUCACAAAUUUGAACAAAAAUUUUGGUAUAAAACUUGAAAAAAGUCCGCUAAAUUUUUGGAGCAAACCUUGACAAAGAUGGCUGUUGUAAUUUUGGACAAAAAUUAUUGGAUGAUUUAAUUGUAGAAAAUAUUUGCUAUAUUUAUUUUGAGAUAUUUAAUU